AUGAAUUUCUUUCCUGAUCUACAACAUCUAAUCUCAAAUUCGCAGAACCAACAUUUACACAAAAAAUCGAGCAAGGAGAACUUGCCUGACGAGGGCAGAGCUUUGAAUUCAAUAUUUGCACAAUGGGGGAUUGAGGCCAAUGCGGAGCAAUGGAACACAACUGGAGACCCUUGUAGUGGAGCUGCCAUUGACUCCACCGCAUUCGACGAUGUCGAUUACAACCCUUUCAUCAAAUGCGUCUGCUCUGAUAAUGUCACUUGCCACAUUACCCAACUGAAAGUUUAUGCCUUGGAUGUUGAUGGUGUACUUCCAGAUGAGCUAUGGACAUUGAGCUACCUAUCUAAUCUGAAAUUGGGUCAGAAUUACUUCACAGGACCUCUCUCUGCAUCCAUUGGAAAUCUAACUAGCAUGCAAUACUUGGACUUCAGCAUUAAUGCUUUAUCGGGAGAGCUACCAAAGGAACUCGGAGAACUCACUGAAUUGAUUGUAUUUGCUAUUGGGACAAACAACUUUACUGGGCCUCUGCCAGCUGAACUAGGGAGUUUAUCGAAAUUACAACAACUUUACCUUGAUAGUUCUGGAGUUAGCGGUGAGAUUCCAUCUACAUUUGCCAAUCUACAAAGCUUGCAGACAGUGAGGUUUCAAGGGAACUCCUUUGAAGGUCCUAUACCAUCUGCACUUUCCAAUCUGACUUCUCUCACUGAGCUGAUAAUUACCGACUUAUCUACUACCAAUGGAAGCUCUUCUCUUGGAUUUAUUAUGGAUAUGAAGUCUCUAUCUGUCUUAGUGCUAAGAAAUAACAACAUUUCUGAUUCAAUUCCUUCCAACAUUGGAGAAUACAAAAGUUUAACUCAGCUGGACUUGAGCUUCAACAAUCUAACUGGACAAAUACCAGACUCGCUGUUUAAUUUGAGUUCUCUUUCCAUCCUGUUUCUUGGAAACAAUAAGUUGAAUGGCACUAUCCCUGAAUCUAAAAGCUCAAGUCUUCUCAAUAUAGAUUUGUCAUACAAUAAUCUGGUUGGGUGCAUUCCUUCUUGGGUCAACGGAACAAACUUGCAGCUGAAUUUUGUUGCCAACAACUUCACCCUGGGCAGUUCAAACAGCAGUGCUCUUCCUUCAGGGUUGAAUUGCCUUCAAAGAGACUUUCCUUGCAAUAGUGGUUCUGGAAUCUGUAAGUACAGUGGACACCUUAUAUGUUUUUCUAACUUUGGGAUAAAAUGUGGGGGUCCUCAGAUAACUUCUUCCAGUAACAUUGUGUAUCAGACGGAAAAUGAGACCCUUGGUCCAGCUUCAUAUUUUGUGAAUGAUGAAAGCAGAUGGGCAGUUAGCAACAUUGGGUAUUUCACUGGCAGCAGCAAGCCUCAGUACACAAUUUUCUCCUCAUCUCAAUUCAAAAUACUCUAGAUUCCGAGCUAUUCCAGACUGCAAGACUCUCUGCUUCAUCACUUAGAUAUUAUGGCUUGGGGCUUGAGAAUGGUAACUACACAGUGAACCUACAGUUUGCAGAACAAGCUAUCCUAGAUUCUACUACAUGGAAAAGUCUUGGGAGACGUGUGUUCAAUAUUUAUAUCCAGGGGAAUCUAGUUCUAAAGGAUUUUGAUAUACGAAAGGAGGCAGGGGGAUCUUUCCUAGCUGUUCAGAAGGAAUACACGGUUCCGGUUUCAGAGAACUUCCUUGAAAUCCAUCUCUUUUGGGCUGGAAAGGGAACUUGUUGUGUACCUGCACAGGGUACUUAUGGACCUAUUGUUUCAGCCAUCAGUGCCACACCAGAUUUUGAACCUACUGUCAGUAAUAAAAUUCCAACUAGUAAGAAGAAUAGGACUGGUCUGAUUGUGGGAAUUGUUGUUGGUGGUGGAGUUUUAAUUCUGGUGAUGGUAGUUCUCUACAUUGUUCGAAGAAGAAAAAGGCCCAACUUCGAUGAUGUCGAAGAGCUGUUAGGGAUUGAUAUUGGACCGCUCACUUUCAGUUAUUCCGAACUAAAGUCGGCUACAAAUGACUUUAGUCCGGAAAACAAGCUUGGAGAGGGAGGAUUUGGACCUGUCUAUAAAGGUACUCUUCACGAUGGAAGAGUAAUUGCCGUGAAGCAAUUGUCUGCAGCAUCCCACCAAGGAAAGAGCCAAUUUGUAACUGAGAUUGCCACUAUAUCUGCCGUGCAACACAAUAACCUUGUGACUUUGUAUGGGUUCUGUGCUGAGGGAGUAAAAAGGCUCCUUGUCUAUGAGUAUCUGGAAAACAAUAGUCUAGAUCAAGCAUUAUUUGGAAAGAAAAAUCUGAACCUUGAUUGGUCAACACGAUUUGACAUAUGCUUGGGAGUGGCAAGAGGUUUAACUUAUCUUCAUGAGGAAUCAAGGCUUCGUAUAGUUCAUAGGGACGUGAAGGCCAGUAAUAUCCUGCUGGACUCUAAUCUCAUCCCCAAGAUAUCGGAUUUUGGUUUGGCCAAGCUUUAUGACAAUAAAAUGACCCACAUAAGUACCGGGGUUGCUGGAACAAUAGGGUAUCUUGCACCGGAAUAUGCCAUGCGUGGACAUCUUACAGAAAAGACCGAUGUGUUUGCAUUCGGUGUUGUAGCUCUAGAAAUUGUCAGUGGCAGGCCAAAUUCUGACCCUAGUUUGGAAGAAGAUAAGGUGUAUCUUCUGGAAUGGGCUUGGAACUUGCAUGAGAACAACCAUGAACUUGAACUGGUGGACUAUAGAUUAUCCGAAUUCAGCGAGGAAGAAGCAAAACGAAUAAUGAAGAUAGGACUUUUGUGCACUCAAACAUCACCAAUGCUGCGACCGACAAUGUCUGGUGUUGUCGGAGUGCGUACAGGAGCUAUUGAAGUGACAACAGCUGCUUCAAAACCCGGUUACUUGACUGACUUGAAAUUCAUUGAUGCUACUGCCAGCAACAUAUCGCUUGCGAAAGCUUUGAAUUCAAUAUUUGCACAAUGGGGGAUUGAGGCCAAUACGGAGCAAUGGAACACAACUGGAGACCCAUGUAGUGGAGCUGCCAUUGACUCCACCGCAUUCGGCGAUGACGAUCACAACCCUUUCAUCAAAUGCGAAUGCUCGGAUAAUGUCACUUGCCACAUUACCCAACUGAAAGUUUAUGCUUUGGAUGUUGAUGGUGUACUUCCAGAUGAGCUAUGGACAUUGAGCUACCUAUCUAAUCUGAAAUUGGGUCAGAAUUACUUCACAGGACCUCUCUCUGCAUCCAUUGGAAAUCUAACUAGCAUGCAAUACUUGGACUUCGGGAUUAAUGCUUUAUCGGGAGAGCUACCAAGGGAACUCGGAGAACUCACUGAAUUGAUUGUAUUUGCUAUUGGGACAAACAACUUUACUGGUCCUCUGCCAGCUGAACUAGGGAGUUUAUCAAAAUUACAAGAACUUUAUCUUGAUAGUUCUGGACUUAGCGGUGAGAUUCCAUCUACAUUUGCCAAUCUACAAAGCUUGCAGAAACUUUGGGCAUCAGAUGUUGAACUCUCUGGCAGUAUACCUGACUUCAUAGGAAAUUUGUCAAAGCUUACUGACUUGAGGUUUCAAGGAAACUCCUUUGAAGGUCCCAUACCAUCUGCACUUUCCAAUCUGACUUCUCUCACUAAUCCGAUAAUUACAGACAUAUCUACUACCAAUGGAACCUCUUCUCUUGGAUUUAUUAUGGAUAUGAAGUCUCUAUCUGUCUUAGUGCUAAGAAAUAACAACAUUUCUGAUUCAAUUCCUUCCAACAUUGGAGAAUACAAAAGUUUAUAUCAGCUGGACUUGAGCUUCAACAAUCUAACUGGACAAAUACCAGACUCGCUGUUUAAUUUGAGUUCUCUUUCCAUCCUGUUUCUUGGAAACAAUAAGUUGAAUGGCACUAUCCCUGAAUCUAAAAGCUCAAGUCUUCUCAAUAUAGAUUUGUCAUACAAUAAUCUGGUUGGGAGCAUUCCUUCUUGGGUCAAAGGAACAAACUUGCAGCUGAAUUUUGUUGCCAACAACUUCACCCUGGACAGUUCAAACAGCAGGCCAAAUUCUGACCCGAGUUUGGAAGAAGAUAAGGUGUAUCUUCUGGAAUGGGCUUGGAACUUGCAUGAGAACAACCAUGAACUUGAACUGGUGGACUAUAGAUUAUCCGAAUUCAGCGAGGAAGAAGCAAAACGAAUAAUGAAGAUAGGACUUUUGUGCACUCAAACAUCUCCAAUGCUGCGACCGACAAUGUCUGGUGUUGUGGGAAUGCUUACAGGAGCUAUUGAAGUGAAAACAGCUGCUUCAAAACCCGGUUACUUGACUGACUUGAAAUUCAUUGAUGUUACUGCCAGCAACAUAUCGCUUGAUAUGUACUUAUACAACCUAACAAACGCCGUUACCGCCGCCACGCCGCACCCGCCGGAGAAAACUAAACCUGUUGCUGCGAGGAACAAGGCCAAUCCUGCUGGGACUAGGAUAGGGCUAAACAGGACUACAACUGGGGUGGCCAUGAUCAGGGCUAUCACCGUGGCGGUUAAAGUUAAACCGGACAAGACAAAGAGCGUGCUGCCAACUGCCCCUGCGACCAAGAACUUGGCUGCACUACCGGAUGGCAAUGGCGUCAAGGGCAUGGUGGACUUAGGCCUAUCCAAAGUACCUGAACAAUACAUACAACCACCUCAUGAGCGUAUAGUGAAGCUAAAUGCAAGCUCAUCACUAAAUGAGCUCACACCAAUCGAUCUGUCAAAGCUUGAUGGGGUUGAUCAUGAACAAGUGGCUAAUGAGAUCGUUAAUGCUGCCGAGGUUCUUGGGUUCUUCCAAGUUGUGAACCAUGGCCUGCCCCAGGAGUUGCUGGAGUCUCUGAAAGAUGCUGCAAACAAGUUUUUCGGGCAAGCGCCGGGAAAGAAAGCUGCUUACCGGAAAGGUGUGAGCCCGAGCCCGUACGUGAUGUACGGAACGAGCUUUGUGCCGGAGAAAGAGAAGGCAUUGGAGUGGAAGGACUAUGUUAGCAUGGUGUACUCCAGUGAUGCUGAUGCUCUCAGUCACUGGCCUAAUGAGUGCAAGGAAGUUGCACUUGAGUACCUUAAAACAUCAAUGCAUAUGGUAAAGAAAAUAGUGAAAAUCUUGAUUGAGAAGCUCGGAGUGACACUGGAAGACUCGAAACUAGAUGGACUCAUUGGGUUAAAAAUGGUGAACAUGAACUAUUAUCCAACAUGCCCUAAUCCGGAGCUCACUGUUGGAGUCGGGCGUCACUCGGACAUGGGAACCUUAACCGUUUUACUGCAAGAUGGAAUUGGUGGUUUGUAUGUGAAGGUUGAAGAAGACAUGAAUGCUGCUGGAAAGAAAGGAGAUUGGAUUGAGAUCCCUCCUGUCCCUGGAGCUCUGGUCAUAAACAUUGGUGAUACAUUACAGAUAAUUAGUAAUGGGAGGUACAAGAGUGCAGAACACAGAGUACGAACUACAAGCGCUCAAUCAAGAGUGUCUGUUCCGAUUUUUACCAUUCCAAACGCGACAGAAAUAAUUGGGCCGCUGCCGGAGAUGGUGGCGCGUGAUGGAGUGGCUCGUUACCGUGACAUGAUGGAUGGAAAAAUUACUACCUGCAAGGAUGAUCAUCAUGAUUAUCAUCAGGAUCAUGAUGAUGAGGAUGUUACACUACCGGGAUUCAGGUUUCACCCAACAGAUGAAGAACUUGUUGGGUUCUAUCUCCGCCGGAAGAUUCAGAAGAAACCCAUCAGCUUAGAGCUCAUCAAAUCAAUUGAUAUCUACAAGCAUGAUCCUUGGGAUCUUCCAAAAGCGACAACUACUGCCGGAGACAAAGAGUGGUACUUUUUCUGCAGAAGAGGAAGAAAGUACAAGAACAGUAUCAGACCUAAUAGAGUAACCGGGUCUGGGUUUUGGAAAGCAACUGGGAUAGACAAACCAAUUCAUGAUUCCAACAUCAACUGCAUUGGACUGAAGAAAACUCUGGUUUACUACCGGGGCAGUGCCGGAAAAGGCACCAAAACUGAUUGGAUGAUGCACGAAUUUCGCUUUCCCUCCGCCAAUGAUGUCAACAACAAUGUCCACACUAUCCGCACCUCCUGCACCGCUAUAUCGCAGAGUGCUAAUCUUCAAGAAGCUGAAAUUUGGACACUGUGCCGAAUAUUCAAGAGAAAUGUGUCGCAUAAAAAGUAUACACCGGACUGGAGAGAGUUGUCUGCUAAACAAUCCAGCUCAAAGAAAUGCAAUAUGACUACCGAUCAAGAUCUUAAUCAAGAGUCCAGGAACAUUAACCGAGAAGCUUAUAUCGAUUUUGGUGCUUCAAACAUUUGCUACGAAGAGAAGAAGCCGAAUGUUCUCAACCACACUAAAUAUAACAAUGCAAGCAACAUUAAUAACCAGACAUUGCAGAAUGCAGGUCAUCAGUUCAUCUCCGGAACAACGACGACUACUGCUACACAUCCAUACAACAUGGAUUCCUUCACAUCGAGCUAUUCAUAUGCCGAUAUCGAGAAUCAUGACUUUUUUAACGAAAACUGGGAGGAGUUCAGAUCAGUUAUACAGCUCGCUCUUGAUCCGUCGUUUAUAAGAAGCUCGUUUAAAUCAGAUGGGUGGAAUAAAUUACAAAUCCCGUACUCGAGUCGGCUUCCUGAGAAAGUUGUGCUAAUUGGCAGGCCUCAGACAUGUAAGCUUCUCAGGCCCUUGAAAGAGACUAGAUUGUGUGCAGUUCCCAACACAGAUGAUGGUCACCCUUCUGUCUCUGUGUUGGAAGAUUCCAAUAUGAAUCACGCACCCACUUCGGAAGAGGAGACAUUGUUCAGCAAAUGGACGCCUCCCAGGUAUUUGUGGAGGGGAUUUUCAGCUCUUAUCCUGGCAGGUCAGGUCAUCAUUAGAACUUUAAAGGGUAAAGUGCACUGGAAAAAUACACUCCAACAGUUGAGAAGAGUUGGGCCAAGUUCGGUUGGGGUCUGCCUCUUAACUGCAGCAUUCGUUGGCAUGGCCUUCACCAUCCAGUUUGUUAGGGAAUUUACCAGAUUAGGAUUAAGCAGAGCUGUUGGUGGGGUGUUGGCCCUGGCUUUCGCAAGGGAGUUGAGCCCUGUAGUUACAUCAAUUGUGGUUGCAGGGCGUAUUGGAAGUGCAUUUGCUGCAGAGUUAGGAACAAUGCAGGUUUCGGAGCAAACUGAUACAUUGAGAGUUCUUGGAGCAAACCCUGUUGAUUAUCUUGUGACACCAAGGGUGAUUGCUACCUCCAUUGCUCUACCGUUUCUGACCCUAAUGUGUUUCACAGUAGGAAUGGCAUCCAGCGCUCUCCUUGCUGAUGGUAUUUAUGGGGUUAGCAUUAACAUUAUUCUGGAGUCAGCUCGGAGAGCUCUUAAACCUUGGGAUAUAAUUAGCGCAAUGAUCAAGUCACAGGCUUUCGGUGCUAUCAUAUCGAUUCAUGACAUACUGCUCUGGAAUAACAAAGCAUUGAGGUGUCUUGACUGGUACAACAUAACGCGUGCAUUCAAUAAACUCGAGCUUCUACAUCCAAAGGAAGCUGAAUAUUCUUAUGAUGUUUAUGACUACAAAAAGAAAAAAGUACAUUGGUUUGAUGUGGUUGGAACUUGUAAUGGGAUAUUAUGCCUGACUGGCUUUAGAUUUGACAAGUACCAGCGUCGUAGGGCGGAUGUCAGGGAGGCUAUCACGGCAAUAAUUUGGAACCCUUCUAUUAAACGGUUUGUGAUCAUACCUAGUGGUUUCUUUGUAGAUUAUGCCUUUGGCUAUGAUUCUUCUACCAAUGACUAUAAAAUUUUGAGAAGCGUGGUUCACGAUUCUUAUGAAAUCGCAACUGAGGUUGAGCAUGUUUUUGUCAAUGGUGCCUUGCAUUGGGUUCAAUUCUGUAACAUAGAUAGGCACAAAUACAUUGUGCUGUUUUCUAUGUCAUCUGAAUCAUUUGGAGAGAUUACAAUGCCUGAAGUUUUGAGAAACGAUUCAUACGAUUGCUAUAUGUCAAGAUACUGCGAGUCAUCACUCGCUUUGUUAAUUGAGGAUUUCGACAAUAAUAACAAUAAUCUUCACUUGUGGGUGAUGAAGGAAUAUGGUGUGGCAGAAUCGUGGACUAAACUGUUCACGUUUGCAACUUUGCUGUUGUUGGUUCUUCUGCCGCAUUGUCUUUAUGGGGAGCACAAGCCUGGGGCUUCAUCGGUGGCCUAUGUUAACUUGCCAGGGAGGAGGUGUAGUACAGGCUUCAGAGCUUGCAGCAGCAAGUUAAAGACGAGCAUAAAAGGUUGUGCCCCCAGUGCAUUUGUUGUUGCUGAUGAUAAGAAGUAUGGGAACAAGCAGAUUAUCAGUAUUACUCCGCGGCUUUAUGAUUACAUCCUUGACAAUGUUCGAGAACCAGAGGUUCUACGAAAACUUAGGGAAGAGACUGCCUCUAUGCGUGGUAGUAUGAUGCAGGUGUCCCCUGACCAGGCACAACUGCUUGCAAUGCUUGUACAGAUUCAUGGGGCAGAAAAGUGUAUUGAAGUUGGUGUAUAUACAGGUUAUUCAUCAUUGGCUAUUGCAUUGGUCCUUCCAGAAUCAGGUAGGUUAGUAGCUUGUGAAAGAGAUGCCAGAUGUCUUGAGGUUGCAAAGAAGUAUUACGAAAAAGCCAAUGUUUCCCACAAGGUGGAUAUUAGAUAUGGACUUGCAGUAGAUACCUUAAGAUCACUGAUUCUCAACGAUGAAGCAUGUAGCUAUGAUUUUGCAUUUGUUGAUGCUGACAAGAGAAUGUAUCCAGAAUACUUUGAAUUAUUGCUCCAACUCGUGAGGGUUGGGGGUCUAAUUGUAUUUGAUAAUGUUCUCUGGCAUGGAAAAGUUGCUGAUCCAGAGGUAAAUGAUGCCAAGACAGUUAGCAUUAGAAACUUCAAUGCUGAUUUAAUGGAGGAUAAGCGUGUAAGCAUUAGUAUGUAUCUCAAGAGAAAGAAGCAGAUACCUCUCUUCGAGGCCUUGCAGAAGAUCAAAGAAGAGUUGAUGCUUUUGGGGUUUAUAUCACUCCUGCUGACGGUGUUCCAAGGACCUAUAGAAAAGUUCUGCAUAUCAAAGAAACAUGCCAGUCAUUGGCUGCCUUGUAAGGAAGAAGAGUCGGAGUCAACGUCAACGACUGCCCAUUUCCAGACCAGCAGCUUCUUCACUAGUAACCAUUAUUCUCGGCAUCUGCUGCUUUUUCCAGCCAGGACUGCCCGCCGCCUUCUUGCAGAUGACGCCGAGACCUCUAAAUCCGGUUCCACCGGCACGUGUCCAGAGAAUUCUCCGUUGAACAAUUGUUGUAGUUCAGCCUCCUCCAACAUCGGCGGUGUAAGCAGUCCCAUAUUCUCAUCUAAGGAAAGUGGUUCACCUUCUAAUGGUGUGGGUACUGCGCCUGCUACUUGUCCAUAUUCCGAUGAUGGUUCUGCUGGCUGCAAGAAUACUUAUAAACACAGAGCCUCCUCUUUCCUUAGGGUUUUGCAGACCAAAAUAGAAAGAGGCUCUCUCUCAGUCUCAGACUCUGUAACGAUGUGGGACGAUUGCUAUGAACGUAAGUCUCUCUUGACACCUCCAUCCGCCUCUAAGCUUUGUCUGUCCAUUUCUUAUGUCAUCACAAACUGGCUCGAAUCUCUCCCUCAAGAACUCAUACCCGAAAUCCUAAUCAGACUACCCACCAAAUCCCUCAUCAAAUUCACCUCUGUCUGUAAAUCUUGGAACUCCACCAUCAAAGACCCAAAAUUUAUCCGCACCCACACUCUCAAUUUGAAUGACCGAAAUGCCACCCACCUCCUUCUCCUCCACGCUGUUCACUGUCAACGCUACUGGAGUAGAACUGAAGAAAGAGUCCAAAUCUCUGGGUUCCAAGAAGACACUUACUCUCUGCUUCAUGACGACACUGCUGUCUCUGAGUAUCGCAACAUUGAGUUACCAUUAGUUCUUGAUAAAAAAUUGAUCAAUCCGUGUUUUCGUGUGGUGGGUACUUGUAAUGGGCUGGUUUUGCUUGCUGAUGAUUUCGGGGAAUAUGGUCACACCAUUGUUAUAUGGAAUCCUAGUGUUAGGAAGUAUGUGACCCUUCCCAAGUUUUCGACGCGCCGUAAAUAUGAUGCUUCACUUGGUCUGGGUUAUGAUGCUAUUGGUAAUGACUAUAAGGUUGUGAGACUGACAGAUCAUAUCGACGAAUGUGAACCUGAUGAGUGCCGGAGUAAAGCUCAGGUGUAUUCACUGGCCAAGGGAGCUUGGAGCAUGCUGCGUCCUGUUCCUGAUUGUUUUUUGCCUGAUGAAUUUUAUGGCCUUGUUUUUGUCAAGGGGGCACUUCACUGGGUGGCUGCUGUUUGGACACACGGCGAGCCAUAUCCCUACUAUUUCAUUUUGACAUUUGAUGUGGCUGGUGAGACAUUUGGAAAGAUUGAGUUCCCCAUGAGAUUGGAAUUGGAGGACGUAGUGGACUUGAGGUUGUCUGUUUCUGGAGAUAGAAAAUCUAUUGCUCUGUUUGUGAAGUGUUUGAAUUUUGAGGGUGGUGAUUCUUUUCUUGAUAUUUGGGUAAUGAAAGAGUACAGUGAGGAGAAAUCAUGGACAAAAUUGGUGGCUCUCAGUCCACAAGGUCCGGAAAGAAGUCUACCCAGGGCAUGGGCAUUUUGUUUAAAGAGGAGUGGUGAAGUGAUAUUGCAACUUGACGGUAGCCCUGAGUUAGUUUCUCUUGACGUUUUGAGCAAACAGUUUAAACAUCUAGGAAUAUCUGGAGGGGAAAUUUGCUCUGUUGACUCUUUUGAAGAGAGCCUUGUCUUGCUCGACAGGAAUGAUGCAGGUUUAAGGCAAGCAACGGCGCUCUCUCUUCACUCACUCUCACUCUCAGGUCUCUCAGUCUCCUUCAAAAUGUGGGAGGAUUGCUAUGAAGGUAAGUCUCAGCUGAACCCUGCAUCAAUCUCUAAGCUUUGUUCGUCCAUUAAUCAUGUCUUCCAAAACUGGCUCGAAUCUCUCCCUGAAGAACUCAUACCCGACAUCCUAAUCAGACUACCCAUCAAAUCCCUCAUCCGAUUCACCUCUGUCUCCAAAUCCUGGAGCUCCACCAUCAAAAACCCAACCUUCAUCCGCACCCACCUCACCCACACUCGCAAUUCCAAUCACCAAAACUCCACCCACCUCAUUCUCAUACACAAUGUCUCCAAUGAAGGCACUUCCAAGCACAAUUAUGGAGAAGUUCCCCUUUCCGGGUUUAGAGAAAACUCUUACUCUCUGCAUUAUGACAACACUGCUGUUACUGAGCAUUGCAAGAUUGAGUUUCCAAUAGCUCUUAAGAAAAUGAUGAAGAAUCCCUGUUUUCGCGUUGCGGGUACUUGUAAUGGGCUUGUUUUACUGGCUGAUGAUGUAUGCCGUGAUGCUUACAACUUUGUUUUAUGGAAUCCUAGUAUAAGAAAGUAUGUGAUACUUCCUAAGCCCACUGUUAUGUCUUCGACACACGGUAAGCAUGAGGCUUCCGUUGGUCUGGGUUAUGAUGUUAUUAAUAAUGACUAUGAGGUUGUGAGAGUGACAUUUCUUAUGGAUAUACCUGGUAAUGGCUUCAGGACUUUAGUUCAGUACUAUUCACUAGCCACAGGCUCUUGGGGCAUGCUUCGGGUUCAUCCUCCAUGUGUAGUGAAUGCCACCAGGGGACAGGUUUUAGUCAAUGGGGCACUGCACUGGUUCGCUAUCCGUUGGGCCGAUGAUCAUAAAAUGAAAUUCAUGGUUAUGGGAUUUGAUGUGGGAAGAGAUAGAAAAUCCAUUGGUCUGUUUGUGAGGUGUGACACUGAGACUGAUAGCUAUCUUGAUAUAUGGGUGAUGAAGGAGUAUUUUGUUCAGAAGUCGUGGACCAAAUUGAUGAUUCUCACUCCACAAGGUCCGGAAAGAAGUUUGUCCAAGCCAAUUUGUUUUAGGAGGAGUGGUCAUGAAGUGGUGUUACAACUUGAAGAUGACCGUGGAUUGGUUUCACUUGACAUUGUGAGCAAACAGUUAAAAAGUCUCGGGAUUUCUGCAGGUCUGCUUGCUUUUGACAUUGUUUAUAUACUACUACCCAUCAAAUCCCUCAUCAAAUUCACCUCUGUCUCCAAAUCCUGGAACUCCACCAUCAAAAACCCAACCUUCAUCCGCACCCACCUCACCCACACUCUCAAUUCCAAUGACCAAAACACCCCUCACCUCCUUCUCCUCCACGCUGUCCACAGUGAAGGCACUUCCAAACCCUUUGGGAGAGUCCACAUUUCCGGGUUUCAAGAAGACCCUUACUCUCUGCAUUACGAUAGCAAUGAUGUCACCGAGUAUUGCAAGGUUGAGUUUCCGAUUGCUCUUAAGGAAGAAUUGGUCAACCCGUGUUUUCGUGUUGUGGGUACUUGUGAUGGGCUAGUUUUGCUUGCUGAUGAUUUGGGGCGGUAUUGUUACACAUUUGUUAUAUGGAACCCGAGUGUGAGGAAGUAUUUGACCCUUCCUAAACCUUCUAUGAGGUUUUCGACACACGGUGGGUAUGAUGCUUCGGUUGGUUUGGGUUAUGAUGCUGUUGGGAAGAGCUAUAAGGUUGCGAGGCUGACCACUCUUUUGGAUCACCCUGAUGAUGAACACCCGACGACUUUAGCUCAGGUUUAUUCACUAGCCACAGGCUCUUGGGGCUUGGUUCGUGUGCUUCCUCGAUGUGUUGUGCCGGGCUCCUGGGUCCAGGCUUUUGUUAACGGGGCGCUUCACUGGCUAGCGCUCCGUUGGAUGGGAGAUCAUUUUGUCUAUUUUGUUGUGGCAUUUGAUGUGGGGAGUGAGUCGUAUCGGGAGGUAAUGUUGCCCAAGAGGUUUAAGACGGAGAAGUCAGUGGAGUUGAGGCUGUGUGCUUCGGGAGAUAUGAAGUCCAUUGCUCUGUUUGUGAGGUGUAAGAGUGAGUCUGAUUGUUUUCUUGAUAUAUGGGUAAUGAAGGAGUAUUGCAUUGAGAAGUCGUGGACCAAAUUGAUGAUUCUCACUCCACAAGGUCCGAAAAGAAGUUUGCCGGAGCCAUUGUGUUUUAGGAGGAUUGGUGAAGUUGUGCUGGUACUUGAAGAUGACCGUGAGUUGGUUUCACUUGACAUUGGUAGCAAGCAGUUUAAAAGUCUUGGGAUUUCUGGAGGGCAGGUUUGUUCUGUGGACUUCUUUGAAGAGAGCCUUGUCUUGCUUGAUAGGAAGGAUGCAGUCUUCGUGUUACCUGAUAUAGUGGACUGUGGUCUCUGCGGAACUGAUGCUGCUACUUCAGUGAACUGUUCUUCUCCGUCUCUUGUAGACCAAUUGAAAGUUGAAGCAAUGGUAAUAAACUCUUUUCCUGAUGAUAUCAUCCCAGAUAUCCUGUUAAGACUGCCCGUCAAGUGUUUAAUACGAUGCACGUCGGUCUGCAAACCAUGGAAGUCCAUGAUCAAAAGCUCAAAGUUCAUCCACGCCCAUAUCAACCGUACAAUCAAAGCUAAUAACCAGCAGGGGACUCACCUUGUACUGCACCAUGGCCGCUACAAGCACCCUUCCAAGAAGGACAAAAGAGAUGAGGAGGUUUACUCCUUGCAUCAUGAUAACCAUGCUUUUGAUGAGUACUGCAAGAUAGAAUUUCAAAUUGAACGUAUGGUACAAAAGGGCAACCAUCGUUUCCGUGUUGCCGGCGUUUGUAACGGACUGAUAUGCCUGGCGGAUGAUACAUUUUCUAAAUGUUUCAACUACAUACUAUGGAAUCCAUCUAUAAGAAGGGCAGUGAUGCUUCCCUGGCCUGCUGUUACCUUCAAAUCUCAUGGACCGUUUGACGAUACUAUAGGGUUCGGGUUUGAUGCUUUGACCAGUGAUUACAAGGUUGUUAGGCUUGUCACUCCGGACCACUUUAGUCCCAAUGACGACGAGUGUAGUCUCGAACCAACUUUAGCUGAGGUUUAUUCACUAGCCACAGGCUCAUGGAGAAGUCUUGGUUCCAUUGCUUCUUGUUGCGAUAUAUCUUCAAAAAUAACCUACGUCUUGUUUAAUGGGGCUAUUCACUGGGCUGUACGUCGCUGGGAUGAUGAUUGCUCCUUCAUACUGACAUUCGAUGUGGGAAGUGAAUCAUUUGGCGAGAUAAUGAUGCCGGAGAGUAUCAGGUCGCAUCAGUUCUUAUUAAGCGAAUCAAAAGUUUCUGUCUCAGGGGACGGAAAAUCCCUUGCUCUUUUCACUAGUAGUAGAAAGGAUUAUAAGGAUGAUCCCUUUCUUGAUAUAUGGGUGAUAAAAGAGUAUGGCGUGCAGGAAUCGUGGGAUAAAUUGAUGACUCUCGGUCCACAAAGAGGGAUACCCAGGCCAUUGCGUUUUAGGAAGAGCGGUGAAGUAUUCUUGCUACAACAAGAGUACUCUUUCUAUGAGACUGUAUUAGCUUGGCUUGACCUUGCCAGCGGGAAGAUUGACAGACCCGAGAGUUGUCAAAAGAAGUAUUGCAACUCUGUCGAUUCAUAUGAAGAGAGCCUUGUUUUACUCGACGUCGGCAAUGCAGUCGAACCAGAACUCAUGAGGAAUAGUAUAACUGAGUUUGAGGAUAAAGUGGUGCAUGACAGGGAGGAUGAAGAAGUUAAUGCAAGUAGAGUAGUGACUCAUACAAUGUCCAUCAUCAAGAACACAAGUUUUGUUCGUGCCCAUCUUAGCCAUAACGUUAACAACCGGGAUGGUGCUCACCUUCUACUACUGCACAGUGGUUGCUGCGGAACUUCCCAUCCAAUAAAAGAAGAGGUUUACUCUUUGCAUUAUGAUAACCGUGUUUUUGAAGAGUACUGCAAGAUAGAUUUUCAUAUUCUCCGUGUUGCAUUAGGAAUGGGCGAGCAAAAUUUCCGAGUGGUCGAUAUUUGUCACUGGCUGGUUUGCUUAGCGGACAAUUCAAUCGCUAAAACUUCGAAAUAUAUGCUAUGGAACCUCUCAAUAAGAAAGGCAUUGAUGCUUCCCUCGUCUGGUCUGACCUACAUCACUCAUGGUCACUUUGAAGAGUCUAUUGGGUUCGGGUUUGAUGUUGUGACCAGUGAUUACAAGGUUGUUAGGCUUGUCACUGUCGAUGGUCGGGAAACUUUAGCUGAGGUUUAUUCCCUGGUCAGGGACUCAUGGAGAAGCCUUGGUUCUGUUAAGCCUUCCUGCCAAAUAUAUGGAACACAACCCUCCGCCUUCUGCAAUGGGGCUAUUCAUUGGGUAGUAAAACGUUGGACUAAUGGUGCUUUUUACUAUUUCAUAUUGACAUUCGAUGUCGGAAGUGAAUUAUUUCGUGAGAUAACGAUGCCGGAGAGUACCAAGUACCCAUUAUUAUGGGAAUCAAGAGUGUCUGUUUCAGGAGAUGGGAAUUCACUUGCUCUCCUCAGUACGUAUAGGAGGUACACAGGCAACGAUUAUCUUGUUGAUCUAUGGGUCAUGAAAGAUUAUUGUGUGCAGGAGUCGUGGACUAAAAUGAUAACUCUUGGUCCACAAAGAGAUAUACCCAAGACAUUAACUUUUGGGAAGAGCGGUGUAGCAUUCUUGCUAGUAGGAGAUUACUUUCAGAAGAAUAGAUUGGUUUUGCUUGACAUGAGAGCAGGAACCUUGUUUUACUCGGCACGGACAACACAGUUUCUUACUGAACAGUCAGGGGCUCAUGGAGAAGCCUUGGUUCUAUUCAGCGUUCCUGCCAAAUAUAUGGUAAACAACCCUCCGGUAGUAAAACGUUGGAGUAAUCUUGCUUAUUACUAUACCAUUUUGUCAUUCGAUGUUGGAAGUGAAUUAUUUCGUGAGAUAAUGAUACCAGUGAGUAUCAAGUACUCAUUCAUGUUGGAAACGCAAGUGUCUGUUUCAGGAGAUGGGAAUUCGCUUGCUCUCUUCAGUACAUAUAAGAGGCACAGAGAUGAUGGUGAUCUUGUUGAUAUAUGGGUCAUGAAAGAUUAUCGUGUGGGGAAGUCAUGGACUAAAUUGAUAACUCUCGGUCCAGAAAGAGAUAUACCCAAGACAUUAGCUUUUGGGAAGAGCGGUGAAAUUUGUUGUUAUGAAGAGAACCUCAUUCUACUCGGCAUGGACAAGUUUCUUACUAAACAUGUGCUCAAGGGAAGUCGGCGGUGGCGCGCGGGGGGACUGAGAAUGCGGGUCGUUGGGAUCGCAGGAGCUAUCAACCUCGCCGGGCUCGCUCUUCGGCUGCUGGUGGCCGUCGAUCCUGAGCUGCAUCAACGGCCGGUGAUUAACACUGUGGCCGUUAAUAUUGUUAAAAUUCUCGUCGUUGUUGCCGUUACUAUUGUUGGUGUUCAUAAUCUCGUCGUUGUUGCUGUUCUGGUCGGACGGCGAGGAAGGGUUCGAGGACGACGUGACGGUGGGAGGGACGGCGAUGUCGUCGGAGAACAUGGACAUGAGCUGCUCGUCGUCGAGUCGAUCGAACGAUCCUGCAAUGUUGUUGGCGCCGUGGACGGUGGGGUUCCUAUGGUCGACGUCGUCGAGCACGUUAAGCGGCGACUCGAGGAACGCAAUGGAGUCGCUGGCGGAGCGGCGGUGCGCCCCGCGCCGGGCGGAGGAGAAGUCAAGGAACUCGUCCAUCCAGCAGGAAGAAGACUGCUGCUGAGGGGGAGGAGGAGAAGAAGGGGGUGGUUGAGGGCGGCGGUGGAGGAGGGGAGAAAGUUGGCCAUGGAGGGCAUUAUUCUGUGCAAAGCCAUGGCGGAGGAACGAGCUCCCAGCGCCGCACACAGUGUACAACCCCUGCACAAAGUCCGUCGGCGUCUCCGGAACAUCCACCGGCUUCCACCGCAGCUGAGUCGGCGUGGUGAAGCUGUUGGAGUCGUUGAACUCGCUGACGAGCCGGCCGUGGCUGGGCCGGAGCGGCUUGAAAGGCUCGUGAGUGACGGAAGGCUUGAUCCGGUAGAGCCAGGAGCGGAGGUUGAGCUUGCGCGGCGAGGUGAAGGAGGUGCCGGAGAUUUGCUCGGCGUAGAGGCCGUAGGGGCAGAGGAGGGGGCUGCUCUGGCCGGAGGGGAGAGCGCCGGGGAGAGCUUCGGAGGAGAAGUGGUUGUGGAAGCCGGACUGAGAUCUGUUGAGAGGUUUUUUGUACCCUCAUCGUUUUCCAAUGUUGGAAUGAAUCCAAAUCGGUGUUUUAGUUCUAUGGAGGUGAAUAAACCAGAAGGGAAGCCUUCUGUGAAACGCCUGGGUAAUCUUACAAGCACAUGGAAUGAGUUUGCUGCCUAUCUCAACAAGAAGCAGAUACAAACCAGAUGCAAAGAAGCGAAUAUGUCUGGGAGCGAAAGCCAUUCUGCCAUCCUUAAACAAUUUUCUGGGUUUCUUGCAGAAACUGGUUUUGUUCCACAUGAAGAAGCUUCAGGUACUCUAUCAUCUUUGUCUACUGCUCUCACUCAAAAUGGAAUUGCUGAAAGGAAGAAUCGAGAUCUGCUUGAGAAAACAAGAGCUCUCAUAUUCCAAAUGAAUGUACCUAAGAGUUUCUGGUCUCAAAGUGUGCUCACUGCUACUUAUCUCAUCAAUCGUCUGCCUAGUAGAGUACUUGGUGGUAAGUCCCCUCUUGAAGUGUUGAAAGGAAGGAAGAUUGAUAUCUCUCACCUGAGAGUAUUUGGUUGUGUUUGUUUUGUUCACAUACAAGCUAAACAAAGAGGGAAACUUGAUCCUCGGGCUGAAAAGUGUGUGUUUUUAGGAUAUUCAUCCACUCAAAAGGGUUACAAAUGCUACAGCCCCUCUUCUAAAAAGAUCAUUGUCUCCAGGGAUGUUAGAUUCGAUGAGAAUACUUCUUUCUUUGCUGGGAAAUCAGAUGGUUUCAGUCAGGGGGAGUCUUUAUUUGAUCUGUUUCCAACUCCCAAUCUUCCUGUCAAUGAGGAUAGUAGACAGUCUUUCCAUCAUACUGCUUCAGUUCCAGCUUCGAGUUUCAGUCAUCCUGUUGUUGGGGAUUCCAGUCAGCAUUCCUAUCCUACUGCUUCGGUUUCAGAAGUUCUAGCAGUGCUUCCAAAUCCAGAUGUUGACCAAUCUGAAUUACCUGUGCAACCUGUUGUUGAGCCUCUUUCUCCACCUCCAACUGUACCUCGUAGAAAUCCUACGCGAGUACGAGGUCCUCCAUCAAAGCUCCAAGAUUACGUGACAUAUGCUGCGAGGUAUCCAAUGACUGCCUUCAUCUCUUAUAAAAGGUUCUCUUCUGCUCAUUCUGCUUUUCUCAGCACCCUUGAUGCUACUCAUGAACCUCAAAGCUUUGAUGAAGCAAAUCAAUAUGAAGUGUGGAAACAGGCUAUGGCAGAUGAAAUUCAAGCCCUUAAUGAGAAUAAAACAUGGAGUGUGGUUAAGAUUCCUCAAGGGAAGAAAGCAGUAGGCAGUAGAUGGGUGUAUAAGACCAAGUUUCACUUAGAUGGCACUGUAGAAAGACAUAAGGCUCGAUUGGUAGCUAGGGGUUUCACUCAAACCUAUGGAGUUGAUUACAAAGAAACCUUUGCUCCUGUUGCAAAAAUGAGUAUUGUUAGGGUUCUUCUUUCGGUUGCUAUGAAUCAUGGUUGGCCUCUUUUUCAAAUGGAUGUGAAGAAUGCUUUUCUACAUGGUGAUCUUGAAGAGGAGGUUUAUAUGAAAUUGCCUCCUGGUCACCCUCAAUCUUCUAAUCCUAAUAUGGUAUGCAAACUUCACAAAGCCAUUUACGGCUUGAAACAAUCUCCUCGAGCUUGGUAUGCCAAGCUUAGUUCUGUGCUUGAAGAAGUUGGUUUUCAUAGCAGCAAUGCAGAUUCCUCAUUAUUUGUUCGAAUUGGUUCAACAAGUAAGCUUGUGGUGCUUAUUUAUGUUGAUGAUUUAAUUGUGACAGGUGAUAAUCUAGAAGAGAUUAAUGUUCUCAAGCACUCUCUUCGUUGCAAGUUUGCUAUUAAGGAUUUGGGGCGUCUUAAGUACUUCCUUGGUAUAGAAAUGGCUACUUCUCAUAAAGGAUUGUUUCUAAAUCAAAGGAAGUAUGUUCUUGAUUUGCUGAAAGAGUCAGAGUUGUGGGACAGCAAGCCUACUAGCACUCCCCUUGACAAUAAGUGGGAUAGCAAGCCUGCCAGCACUCCUCUGGACAGCAAGCUUCAGUUUGAUACUUUAAGUCCUUUUCUCUCUGAUGUGACCUCUUAUCAAAGGCUGGUUGGUAAGUUAAUUUACCUUACAAUCACUCGGCCAGACAUUACUUUUGCUGUGAGUAUUAUUAGUCAAUUUAUGCAAGCUCCUACUCAAGCUCAUCUUCGCAUUGUUAAGAGAAUUCUUCGUUAUCUUAAAGGUUCUGCUGGUAGAGGUAUUUUGUUGAAAAACAAUGGUCAUACUGAUAUCUUAGGCUACACAGAUGCUGAUUGGGCAGGAAAUUCUCUUGAUCGUAAGUCCACUACAGGUUUUUGUACCUUUGUAGGUGGUAACUUGGUCAGUUGGAGAAGCAAGAAACAAACUGUUGUUGCCCGUUCUAGUGCCGAAGCUAAAUAUCGAGCUAUGGCUUCCACUGCUUGUGAGCUUAUUUGGCUGAAGGGAUUGCUGUCUGACUUGGGAUCCCCUAGCAGUCAACCAAUGUCCCUUUAUUAUGAUAAUCAAGCUGCAAUGCACAUUGCCUCUAAUCCUGUCUUUCAUGAGAGAACUAAGCAUAUAGAGGUCGAUUGUCAUUAUAUACGAGCUCAAGUUCAGUCCAAGUCUCAUAUACCAAGAAGAAAUAUCAGAAAAGCUUCUGCAAGUUUGUGUUUGGUUUUUCCACAUAACCAACCAUUCCUCCUCCGGCAAAAUUCCACCGGAAAACUCUCCGAUUUCACCACAAGUUUCAGCUUUUCAACAUAUGGCUCCGACUACGAACAACCAUCCCAAUGGUACACCGGUUGGGGACUCACGUUCUUCAUAGCGCCAAACGGUUCCUGUAAUGGACCUAAUAGCACACUCGGAUAUGGUGCCGGUCUCGGCCUCCCCUCCGAUCAUCAGUUCCCAUUUGUGGCGGUAGAGUUUAAUAUCUACCAAACACAGGAAGCUUUACGCGGCAUGGAUGAAGAUAUCGAAGGCCCUAAGGGAGAUCAUGUUGGCAUCGACGUCAACACGGUCAAGUCCUUGACUACCAAGCUCUGGAAUGGUAGUAUUGAUGAUGGACACAACAAUAAUGUUACUAUUAGUUAUGAUUCGAGCACCAAAAAUCUCAGCGUGGAAUUCACUACUUUCUUGGAGGGCACGCAACAGAUGGACUAUCUUUCUUACAAAGUUGAUCUGAGACAGUACUUACCCGAUUGGGUCAUUGUGGGGUUCUCAGCUUCAACAGGUUUAAACAAACCUGCUUUACAUAAGAUCAUCUCACGGAGCUUUAGUUCAACUCCUCUGGUUGAUGAUGAGAGUGCAAGGGAAAACACCGCAACUGUUUCAAAAUUGAACUCCGGCAAUGGCAGCAAGGGACUGGUGGUUGGUUUGGGGGUUGGUGCAAGUAUUAUUCUAGUAGGUAGAUUGGCUUUUGUUUGCUUUAUCUUUUGGAAGAAGAAAGAAGAAAUGGAAAGUGAUGAUGAUUCUAGGUUUCGUGAUGCUAUAGACCAAGAAUUUGAACAGGGAACUGGCCCGAGGAAGUUCACUUAUGGCGAAUUAGUUCGCGCAACUGGUAACUUUCCGGAGGAAGAAAAGCUGGGAGAAGGAGGAUUUGGUGGGGUUUAUAAGGGAUUCAUUAGAGAUUUGAACUCCUUCGUUGCUGUUAAGAGGAUAUCAAGAGGAUCUUCACAAGGGAUCAAGGAGUAUGCAACAGAAGUAAGGAUCAUCAGUCGACUUAGGCAUCGGAAUCUGGUGCAACUCCUAGGUUGGUGCCAUAAGAAGGAAGAAAUGCUACUUGUAUACGAGUUCAUGCCCAACUGCAGCUUAGAUUCACAUUUGUUCAAAGAAAAAAGCUUGUUAACUUGGGAGACAAGGUACAGAAUAGCUCAAGGCUUGGCCUUCGGGUUGCUCUAUCUACACGAAGGAUGGGAACAAUGUGUGCUGCAUAGAGAUAUCAAAUCUAGCAAUAUUAUGUUGGAUUCAGCUUUCAAUGCAAAACUUGGGGAUUUCGGGUUAGCUUGUGGAUCAUGGAAAACAAUCACAAACGACCCAUGUGGGAGGAAAGCCAUCGAUCCCAAGUUGGAUGGAAAUCAAGUCAAUAUUGUCGAAUGGGUUUGGAAGCUUUAUGGACAAGGGAAGGUCACUGAAGCAGCUGACCCAAAACUCUGCGGUGAUUAUGACCAGAAGCAAGUAGAGUGGUUACUAAUAGUUGGGUUGUGGUGUGUUCACCCAGAUUACAUAACCAGGCCUUCUUUACAACAAGCAAUUCAAGUGCUGAAUUUCGAAGUCCCAUUGCCCAUUCUGCCAUCAAGUAUGCCGGUGGCAACCUAUUCUGCUCCUUCGCUGCUCCUUCAGAAUAAGCCCUCAACAGAGGUAAACCUGCUCAAUGUAACAGAAUCGCACCACGACAUUCCGGUUAUUCUCGAAAGCCGCAAACGGAAGUUCACCGGCGACGGGGCUCAGGCAGCAGCAUCGUCGCGGCUCCUAAACCGCAUCGUUUUAUCACUAAGCAAGCCCUCCACUCUUCUCGGCAUCGGCGCCACCAGACCGAGGACCUUGCACCGCGCCAAGCUCGAAAACCUCCUCCGGAAGCUCGUCAGACACCACAGCUGGGUCGACGCCGCCGGCGUCCUCAGCGUGUUGCUCGGCGGCCGAGCCGGCGAGACGUCGCCGGCGAACAACCGCUUCAUGUAUUGGGUUAUGAUGGAAAUGGUGGAGCGUUUGUCUGAGGAGGACCUGGAUGAGCUUUUGCCUGGUAGUUAUUCGAAGGAGAUGUGGAUUAAGAAUGUGUUUGAAGUUUGGGAGAAGAAGAAUGAUAAGUCAAAGGCGAAGUUAGAUGAGUACAGACAUGCUGUUGAACUUGAGCGCAUUACCCUCUCGCUUGCUCAACAGAAUCUUAAGGAGGCUGAAGCUGGUGCUUUCAGUCUCAUGCAAUUAAAGGGUUUCCGAGAUGACCCUCUUCGAAAUAUGAUCGUUGGAUUGACAUUCCUACAGUUGUGGUAUUCCAAGCUCCCAAAAGAGAUGCAAUGGAGGGAGUCUGACCAGUUUUAUAGUAGGGAAUCAAAUGAACUAGUUGCAGGCUCAGUGGGGCAUGGCUCUGUUAACACUAACGAGGCUGGUAGGGCCAUUCAUUGUGACUCAGACACCUCUGUCAUGAAUGAUACAGUAGAGAAUGUACUACCUAUUGUUGCUCAUGAUGCUGACAGUGGCUUACAUAGAGAGAUCUCUGUGGAGGUUGAUGACAUGAAAGUAGAAAUUUCUCCAGUGAUAUUUGAGACCCAAAAUUUCUAUGCGGACUCUGCUCAAAACUCAGAAGAUGAAGCUGCUUUCUCUGAUCAUGGUGGUCAAAUGCAGUAUGCUUCCAUUUUUUCUGAACUUGUGGGAUUGGAGUCACUGUUACUGCCCAUACGAUUGCCAGAGUCUCUUGAUAAUGAUGAAGAUAAGAAUAUUUUUAAUGACUAUUACAAGGAUGCAGUGAAGUACUUACGACAUGCUCUUCACUCCUCCCCCCUGGUAUUGGUAGCCUUGUAUCCUUUGAUACAGGAUGGUCUGAGAUUGAGGGCUAGCCUUCUGCAGCAAUUUGAUUGUAAUAACAAGCCUGUGCUUUCCACUUGUCUGGAGGACUUCUUAAAGAAGGAUCCUACAUGUUGUGAUUCAUUGGGAAAGCUUAUUCUGUUGCAUCAAAAUGAUGAUUAUAGUUAUGAGUCCCUACUUGAAAUGAUAGCUUUGCAUUUGGAUGCCACCACUGCUGAAUACAACAUAUGGAGAGAGUAUGCCAUGUGUUUCCUGAAGCUUUCUCAGUCUGAAGAGGACAGAUUGUCGGUGUGUCUGAAUGGAGAUGAAGAUGAACCGAAACCACGGUACUCUGUUUCUUUCAAUAAGACCCCAGAAAUAUUUUUAAAGGGACAAUCCAGAAAGAAUUGGAAAUUGCGUUGCAGAUGGUGGUCUACACGUCACUUCAGCCAUGAAUUACUUGCAUCAGAGAUUGCAGCAGGUGAUUUGGAGCUCCUAACUUACAAAGCAGCAAGCGCAGUGCAUAUGUAUGAUUCUGAGUUCCAUUACGUUGUGGAUGCUAGGUGCUGCUUAGAGAAAGAAAACGAGUGGGACUUGCUCAUCUUUUUGCAGAUGCACAUUCGAAAUUCUUACCUCUGGGAUUGGGAGGACCUUGAUGAGCUCAAAGCAAGAGUCUCCUGCCUGUUGUACUUGACGUUCCUUGCCUGCUCACGGUCCAUCUGGUACGCGUUGGCGAGGACCACGUCGGGUAGUGCCCGCAGGACGGAGGUCCUGCCAGCCAGAGUGUUAACCAUGGCAUUGUCAUCGGUCUUGAAGGCAAUGUACUCGUAUCCGUCGCUCAUGGCCUUCUGCAACACGGCGUGGUUUUGUGGCACGAUGAAGAGCUUGGGGGCUGUGGAUAGCAUUGUUGUAAAGGAAGCCUCUCUCGGCACUGAGGCGAAGGAACCUGAGAAUAGGCAGGCUGAAGCUGUUGAGGGUGCUGAUGCGACCGGCUUGCGGGCUGAAGACGUCAGCCAUGGAAGGGUUGCCGAUGUUCUGCUUGAUCUUCAUGUGGCAGAAUACCUCCUCAAAGCCAUUAUGGCCUUUCUGCUGGUCGAUGUUGAGAGCAUCGGCGAGGAGCCGAGCCUCGAAGCCGGAGAAGAUGUUGUUGUUGUUGUUUCCCUGCUGUUGGUGCUUCAUGCUCCUUCCUUGUUGUCCUGGUCGUCUCUGUUGGCUCUGGCCUUGUUGUUGGUUGAAGUUGAACUCAUCUUGUGGGUUACCAGCAAGAUAGAAUCGCCUUGGGUUUUGGUCAAGCUGGUUGUGGUUGUUGCUGAUGUGGCUAUUGGUUUCAGAGGAGAUACAAAGUGCCCAGAACUAGGUGGCAACAAGACAAAGUAUCGCUGGGCGACACAGUUGCAAAGACGUGUGCAUGGACGUGCAGUAAAUGUAGCGAUCCGCCCUCUCGAUGAAACAAAAGCUAUUGCAGCUGCUACCGAUUUUCUUGGAGAACUUGUCAUCUUCACCGUUGCAGGACUCGGUAUAAUGUAUGAGGUGAAUAGGACCUACAAGUCAGAGGCUAAGAAGGAGGCAAAACGCAAGGAAGAAUUAGAGGCACUGAAGCUGAAGGACGAGAAUUUACAAAAAGAAGUGGAAUCUCUAAGGCUCAAGCUGCUAGAGAUGGAGAAACAAUUACAAAGAAGAAGCAGCUGGCUGGACUACUUGAGGCUAUCAACUCUGUUCCGACAAGCAGCUGCUGAACAACAAAAGACAGCAUCAGGAAUGAAUGCUUCCAGGCUAGUGCCGGCAACAAAUUGGCAAUCGUUUGGAAGUUGGGCGACACACCUAGGUAAAGUUGGCAAGAACCUUGCUCUUGCAAUUGGGUCGGAUCUUGAGGCUCAGUUCGAAAGCAAGGUGAAGAAGAUCAUGGCAUCUACUGGGUUAAAUCUGACGGCGGUGGUCGACAUGGAUGAACUGGUUGAAGGUUGCCACAUGGUUUGCAAGGCAUGGUGGCCGGCCUAUUUGGGUGCCGUCGGAACAGAUGGUGCUAGAAGGAGCAGCACCAAGAUCCUAGGGUCUGGGUGUGGGCUUGGGUCAUUGGGCCUUGGCCUUGGCUCACACCAAAACAAGCUCAAACUUGAGGCUCAGUUCGAAAGCAAGGUGAAGAAGAUCAUGACAUCUACUGGAUUCCUAAGGCAUCCUGAAACCACAAUCAUUGGCUACGAAAAUCAUUGCAGAAAAGCUUGGGUUGAGAGAAUGUUGCAGAUUGAAGCAAAGGAUAGAGGUCAGUCCCUAACAGUAAUAUCCAGCACUAUAUCAGCAGCAAAUUUCUUGGCUUCAACCUCUUUAGCCUUGAGUUCUUUGAUUGGAGCAUGGGUUGGAAACUCUUCAAACAGCACCCUCAUCACUACUUUUACAUAUGGUGACACAAGCCCUGCCAUUAUGUCUAUCAAAUACGUUAGCAUUCUGGCCUGCUUUCUAUUAGCUUUGGCUUCUUUCUUACACUGUAUAAGGAGCUUUGUCCAUGCCAUUUUCCUCAUCAGCAUGCCGAACAGUGAUACACCUCUGAGUGAUGUUCAGAAGGCUGUGAUACAUGGAGGCCUUUUUUGGACAUUGGGGUUGAGAGCAAUCUAUUUUGCUACUACUAUGCUCCUCUGGCUUUUUGGUCCAAUUCCGAUGUUUGUUUGUUCAGUGACUCUGGUGUUGAUUCUGCACUCGCUGGAUUCCAAUUCCACUCCAUUGCACCAGUUCCAACCAGUCAGGAGUCAUGAUAAUAGGUUAAUGAAGAAACUUGCCGAAGAGAAAACCCGGAUAGAGAGGGUUAUCGAGCAACACGAAAGAUCGAACAUGGAUGAUAGCAGAACUCAAGGUUCUAACCGUCAACAAUCACCUACCUCUGGUAAAGAUUUCAGUUCAGAGGGAAGGAAGACAGUGAACACUGUGUUUCAAGCAGAUCUUUUUGGACAUCCAAAGAAAGCAUAUAUAUGCAGAGCUGAUGUUUACUCCAUAGCCCACAAGAAAGAAGUAUCGAACAGUGCUCUUUUCUUCUACAUGAGCUACUUGAAUAAAGUGUUAAAGCAGAACAAGAUGGAGGAUAUGAUACGGUUUGUCGACUCUGAUAAAGUCAGUGCAAUUGGAAGUGAAACUCCCACAGCGAGGUCUCGUGAUUUGUCCGUUAUGUACAAGAAUGGGAAGCCUGGGCAGAUCUAUUUGAUUCCAUAUAACACAGGUCAACACUGGACCUUGACGAUUGUGAACCCGGAAUUGGAAACCGCACGCUAUAUGGAUCCACUGAAAAGGCACUUGGAUGGAAGUGAAUGGCCUGCUAUUGUCACUGACUCCAUAAAAAUGUACAAAGGCCUACUGAAGAAGCAGCUUGGAAAGAAGAAAGCAUCUCCUUGGAAACCUCUACUUGGUGCUCCGAUACAAAAAGAUGAUGUGAGUUGUGGAUAUUACGUCAUGCGCUACAUGAAGGAAAUUGUGGAGGACAACAACAUUGACCUUGAUAAAAAGCUAGCUCUUGGAACUACCAACACCGGUACCCAUAACAAUAUGGAUCCCUCAAGCUUCCACAUAGCAAUGUUCCCAUGGUUCGCCAUGGGUCACAUGACCCCCUACGUCCACCUCUCCAACGAGCUUGCCUCUCGCGGCCACCGCAUCACUAUCUUGGUCCCCAAGAAAGCUCAAGACCAGCUCCAACACCUCAACCUCCACCCCAACCUCAUCAUCUUCCGCCCUGUCCUCGUCCCCCACUUUGAGGGCCUCCCCGAGGGCACCGAAACCGCCUCCGAGAUCCCCUUAUCCGCCAGCUGGCUCCUCGCCGCAGCUGUGGACAAAACCCGGAAACAGCUCGAGGAGUACAUGCAGGCUCACAAGCCUGACAUGGUCUUCUACGACGCUGCAUGUUGGAUACCGGAGAUUGCUAGGAAGCUUGGGAUUAAGACCGUUUGCUAUAAUGUCGUUUGCGCGGCUGCUCUUGCAUGUGCAGUUGUCCCGGCUAGGAAACUGCCCAUUACGGCGGAAGACCUUGAGAAUCCGCCGGCAGGGUACCCUUCCAAGACCGUAGUGCUUCGUGGCGCCGAGUCCCGGUCUUUGAUGUUCCUUACAAGGCCGUUUGGGGAUGGUAUCACAUUUUACGACAGGGUUACGAAGGCGUUGAAAGAAUGUGAUGCCAUAUCUAUUAGGACAUGCAGAGAGUUAGAGGGUGACUUGUGUGAUUACAUGGAAGCUCAGUUUAACAAGACUGUGCUUUUAACUGGUCCUGUGUUGGGGCUCGGAGAUGAGAAAGGCCAGCUAGAAGAGAGGUGGUCUAAGUGGCUAAGUGGGUUCGAGCCUGGAUCCGUUGUGUACUGCGCAUUUGGUACCCAGUACAUACUUGAGAAGGACCAGUUUCAAGAGCUGGUGUUAGGGUUUGAGCUAACCGGGUUGCCAUUUUUGAUAGCACUGAAGCCACCUAUGGGAUGUGAUAGUGUGGAAGAGGCACUGCCUCAAGGGUUUGAGGAGAGGGUUAAAGGGAGAGGGGUGGUGUUUGGGGGUUGGGUUCAGCAGCCAUUGAUCUUGAGCCAUCCCUCAGUCGGGUGCUUUGUGAAUCAUUGCGGUUUUGGUUCUAUGUGGGAGUCCUUGCUGACGAACAACCGGAUUGUGCUGGUGCCGCACUUGGGUGAUCAGAUGUUGAACACCAAGCUACUGGUGAAUGAGCUCAAGGUUGCAGUGGAGGUGAAGAGGGAAGCGAAUCGGUGGUUUUCGAAGGAAAGCUUGAGCAAGGCUAUUAGAAGUGUGAUGGAUAAAGAGAGCGAGGUGGGUGUUAUGGUGAAGAAGAACCAUGCCAAAUGGACUGAGACACUAUCAAGUCCAGGGUAUAUGAGUGGUUAUGUUGAUAGAUUUGUCCAGAUAUCCGGGCUAACUGCCAGUACAGAAACUGCUCAAAGUAAAGUUUCCAUUGGAGUAGGAUUGCUGGUUGGAUCAACUGUUUUCUACCUUACAGCUGUGUGGGGAUUGUGUGUUUAUGCUGGCAAGUGUGAUCUUGAGGGUAAGGAAAGCCAAGAUACAACAGACACUAAAAUGUUCAGCCUCUUAGGAGAGCUCCUAACCAGCAAUGGUGAACCUAAUAAAGAUGUUCUGGAAAGGCUGUUUAAGACCCUCGAUACGGAUGGAAGUGGAUUUGUUUCACCUGAUGAAAUGAGAACACUGGUUAUCAAAAUCCAAUCUGCAGAGACUGGCUCGAUUAGGAAUCAUGAUCACUUGGAUAACAUUAUGAAAGUAUUCGAUAGGUCUGGUGAUAAAUGCAUCGAUGUUACAGAGUUUAUCGAGCACAUAUCAGUGUGGCUUAAUAAGGCCAAACGUCCAAAGAAUGCUUUUCAUGAGCCUGGCCGUCGCUCAUUUAAGUACUCGUUUAAGGGCAUGCAGAAGGUAAUAAACCGAGAGCACUACAUGUUGGUGUCUGAUAAAAAUAAGAGGGAGGAGGAUGUUAAAAGCCCCAAGUGGAUCUCCUUCAAAGCAGCAAUGAUGUUGUUACUUGGAACUUCUCUUGCUAUUCUAGUUGCUGAACCUUUGAUAGAUGCUGUUGAUGAUUUCUCGGAAGCCACCAGCAUUCCAACCUUCUUUGUAUCAUUCAUGGUGUUGCCUUUAGCUACAAGAUGUAGCGAAACAUUGUCAGCAAUCAAAAUGGCUCGCCAGAAGACCAGAAAACAGUAUCAUCAACAUUGUCCAAGGGGAUUGUAUUGGGACUUCGGAUCUGAGGUGCUGGUUCUUGUCAUCGUUUGCACUGUGAUGGCAUUAUUAGUCCAAGUCAGAGGCCGUUCUUUUCGAUAUAUUGCUACUGUUACAACAACUGCUCAAUCGGUUUCAGACGGUGUUGAUGAUCAUCAUCAUCAUAAUGUUGGAUUCAACCAUAGUAACGGAACGAUCAGAAGCUCCUUCCAACUUCUCAAAGGAAUUGAAGCCGAGUCUAACGAGACCUGUGAGCAACUGUACGGGUUCUUGCCGUGCUCGGACAGUGUUUACGGGCAUGUGUUCUUGAUGGUGGUGUAUGAGUACUUGCUGUUCCAUGGAGAGUCGUAUUUGGCCGCCGGUGGUGAGCAGAUCUUCAAGAUUCUGGGUCCUGGUGUCUUCGGUGCCAGUGCUUUCCAUGUCCUCGGCGCCCUCCCAGAGUCUUUGUUGCUUCUUGCUUCUGGAUUCUUUAACACGAAGGAGAUUGCUGAAGAUUAUGUGUACACUGGGGUUGGAUUGUUGGCUGGAACAUCAAUUUUGCUUCUAACAGUGCUUUGGGGGACUUGUGUAAUUGUUGGCCGGCAACACUUCACAAGUUGUAAUGAUGCAAAUUCUUCAACAGCUUUUUCAUGGGAAAGAAUACUUGCGUUAUUGACAAAUUGCGGUAUUACAAUUGAUAUGGAGACCAGCGUCCUCGCAAGGAUCAUGAUUUUCUCAGUGAUUCCAUUUCUCAUAAUGCAAAUCCCCAAUAUCUUUCACUCCUCCUCUGCGGAAAACAUUUUUAUCUUGAUUGCUCUCAGUGUUUCCAUCAUAUUCCUAUUGCUGUACUUCAUUUAUCAGGUCUUCCGGCCCUGGGUUCAAAAAAGAAGAUUAGAAUUUGUGAAACAUGGGCAUUUGGUAUCAGACAUUUUACAGCAUGUGCAAAAACAUGCACUAGGGAGAAUCCUCACAGUCCAAGGAGCACCUAACGUACGUGCCAUACGAAGGCUAUUUGAGGAAAUGGAUGAAGAUGGUGACAAUCAUAUAUCAAUUCCUGAAGUAAAGAAACUUCUUCAGGAAAUCCAAUUCACAUCAUUGGAAAAUGAUGAGGACAAAGGAAUAGCAGAAGUGAUGCAAAAGUUUGACGUCGAUAACGAUGGAAAAAUUAGUAAAGAUGAAUUUAUGAAUGGCUUCACAAAAUGGCUUGAUGUGUACAAGUCACUGCAUAAAGAAAAUACCGAAAGAUCGUUGGAGGACAUGUAUCAGGUCUUUCAACCUUGGAUUCAAAAUAGAAGAAAAGAACGGGAAAUGAAGACAAAUUUGAUGUCAGAAGUAUUAAGACACAUCCAGGGCAAUUCAUCAGUUGGAGCGAUUCUCACAGAGAAUGGCAUGCCUCAUAAGGACAAUAUUAGAAGCUUGUUUGAACAGAUUGAUCGUGAUGGAAAUAACAAUAUAUCAGAAGCAGAACUAAGAGAACUGAUCAUGAACAUCAAGUCUGGUAACAUUCCACUUGACGUGGAUGAAUCAGUUAACAAAUUGGUAGAAGAACUUGACACAAGCGGAGACCAUAUGAUUAAUGAGGAAGAAUUCGUUACUGGUUUAACAAAAUGGAUGAAUAAAUCCCAUGAUUCCCAAGGUCUUCCCUCAUUAGAGUCGGAGGAUGAUCUCUACCAAAGAACUUGGGAUGCAACAGAUAAGUUGGUGGAUGAAGAGACUAGCAGCGGUAGACCUGUUGACAAGUCAUUAUGGGGUUGGUUCAAAGCCAUUUCAUAUAUGGUGAUCGGGUUUGUUGUACUAGCAGUUCUAGCAGAACCUCUCAUAGAUAAUGUUCAGGACUUCUCCACAGCUGCAGGAAUACCUUCUUUCUUCGUAGCAUUCGUGCUUGUCCCGUUAGCAACCAAUGCUAGACAAGCAGCUUCAGCAAUCAGUGCAGCAAGUCGCCAAACACCAAGAACCACAGAUUUGACAUUUUCAGAGAUUUAUGGUGGGGUUUUUAUGAACAAUGUGCUGGGAUUUUCUGUGCUUCUGGCCAUAAUUUAUGUUCGUGAAAUGACAUGGGAAUUCUCUGCAGAAGUGUUAGUGGUUCUGAUAGUCUGCCUUGUGGUAGGUCUCAUUGCAAUCUCUGCUCUCUAUUCUCUCAGUCUCUUGAUUCGGCACCUCGACUCGGCACAUGGCAGCACCUCACACCUCCGCCACCUCUACUGGGCAGCACCUCAUGCCUCCGCCACCUCACCUCACACCUCCACCACCUCGACUUCACAGCACCUCCGCCACCUCGCUUCGAGAACUGGGCAGCACCUCGCCUCUCUCGCCGUCAACCUCGCCUCUCUCAGUCUCUCGAUUCGACACCUCGACUCGGCACUCAGCAGCACCUCGCACCUCCGCCACCUCACCUCACACCUCCACCACCUCGACUUCACAGCACCUUCGCCACCUCGCUUCGAGAACUGGGCAGCACCUCGCCUCUCUCGCAAUCGACUCGGCAGCACCAAGGGCAGCGCCUCGACUCGGCAGCGCCAAGGGCAGCUCCUCGACUCUCCGACGAAGAAGCCAUCGGCUCCGUUCAAGAAGCCUUUCGCCAAGCCUUGUUCGAGACUUGUUCCUCCACAGACAACCUAUCUUUCUUCACUCUCAGUGUGGUGGUCCCUUUUGGCUGCUAUACCUGCAGCGGUUGCAGGAUACGCAUUUGGAGUGAAGACAAGAUGUGAUGAACAACAGAAAUUAAAGAGUGCUAGAGGAAGGGAGAAGAGUUCUGAUGAGAUUUUUGUCUGCGAGAGGGUAUGCACUUCUAAGAGGAUGCUGAAGAAAGUUGGUGCAUUCUCAAAGGACCCAAUUCCUGAUACUUGUGUUACAGUCUGCGGUGUUUCUGAGCUUGAUGCAUGCGCUGAUGCAUGUGCACGGACUAGGACGGCUUGUCGGAGAUGCCGUCGUGCUCCUCCUCGCCCUGGAUUCUUGCCGGAAUGUGGAAGCCGGGGAAUACGCCGGAGGCGAAUCCCAUGCCGGAAAUGGAAGACUGUUGAUGAUGAUGGUUAUGCAUUGACGGCGCCAUCUGAUGUUGAUGGUCCGAAAGGUCGUUGUGGUCUAUCCAGGCAUGAACCGAAGGCGCGUUACUGGACUGAAGGGGUCCCCUCUGUGAUGAAAAGAACUGGUUUUGGCCGAACAAGAACGGCUGCAGCGUCGGCGACUGUGACUGACUCAGCGCUCGUCGAGCUCGUCGAUGGCGGCUUUGGCUUUCUUGAUGAGCCAAUCGACGGCCUUGCUGGGGCGGUCGUAUCCCAACCGGUCCUGGACGUCGUAGAAUUGAAUGGCGGUGUGGGCGGCGAGGCGGACGCGGCGGUCCCUGGGGCCUUUGGCGGUGCAGACCUUGCUGUGGCGGUCUUUCCGGCCGGUGGCUCUUAUAAUGUGGCCCCCGCGAGCCUCCACGAUCUCGCUGGCCGUGGAGGAAGAUGUAGUGGUUCUUAUCCCGAGACCAAGUCGAGCAGCAGCGGAGGAGGACGAGGCGGUGGCGCGGUGGUGGUGGUGGUGAAGGUUGUUGUGGCUCUGCUCCCCCAUUUUUCUUGCUGCAUAUUCGAUGCUUUUAGUGGAACAGUAGUGACAGCAGCACCAGAAGAAGAAGAAGCAGAAGCAGAACUAGUACUAGACCUAUCAGAAACUGUACACAGGUGUCCGUGUGUUGAAUGUCGUAAUACUAAGUGGAAGACGAUUUAUGAAAUCCACGAACACCUGAAUACAAGACGUAUUAUGCGUAGUUAUACUACAUGGAGUCUACAUGGUGAAACAUUAGAUAAUGAACUUACCUUGGAAGAAAUCCGAGUGGGACACUUUCAGCAUGCUGGCUCAUCCAGCAGUAGUUUCGACCCUUAUGUGGAUCCUUCUAUGAACAUUAUACAUGAUGCUUUUACUUCAUUUGCUACAAGACAUGAGGAAGAGGUUGUUUACGAUACCAUUGAUGCAGACCAUGCUUUUUCAAAUGUUGACAAUGAUGAUUACAAUAAGUAUAACAGGUCGCUUGCUAAAGCACAGACCCCAUUAUACCCUGGGUGUAAUGUAAUUGUCUUGGGUGCCAUCAUUGAACAGAUUAAAACCAAAGUUGACAGCAAUUGGUCGAAUGUGUCGUUUAACCGUAACUUGGUGAACAUCAAGAAAUUGCUUCCUCCAGGAAACAACUUUCCCCACAACUUUGAUAAGGUACAAAGUAUGUUGAAAGAUCUUGGCCUCGGUUAUGAGAAUAUCGACACAUGCAAGAAUAACUGCGUUUUGUUUUAUGGAGUCAUCAACAAAGACCUGGAUUACUGUCCAGUGUUGAAGCGUAUGUACAUGUCUUCACACACUUCAGAAAAUAUGAGAUGGCACGGGGUAACGAGGAAAAAUGAUGACACUCUCAGACACCCUGCAGAUGGGGAGGCUUGGAAAUCAUUUGACAGAUCAUUUCCUGAUUUUGCAGCAGACAUUCGAAAUGUAAGACUUGGACUUGCAACAGACGGGUUUAAUCCUACCGGAAACAUGAAUUUGUCUUAUAGAAAAUGUCUUGAUGUGUACAUGAGACCAUUGAUUGACGAGUUAAAAGAAUUAUGGGAAAAUGACGUCCCUACUUUUGACUGGUAUAGUCAAACUUCAUUCAGGAUGAAAGCAACAGUGAUUUGGACCAUUAGUGAUUUUCCUAGAUACGGGAUGUUGUCGUCUCAAACCACUAAAGGUUACAAGGCUUGGCCAAUCUGCUUAGGAGACCUAAAUGCUAGUUGGCACGCUAGAAAGGUGUGUUACUUGGGGAGUCGUACAGGGCUUCCGGAAGAUCAUCUAUGGCGAUUUGAUGCGGCUUCAUUCGAUGAGAAGCAAGAGUUUGGUUUAAAACCCCAAGAGCGGUCUGAUGAGUGGAUUUUAGACAUGUUGAACUCUUUUGAUUUCGGACGUCUUAGCAGUGAUCCUGAUGUGUUAGCUCGAAAUCCAAAACGUCCUUCUAGAUUGGAGAACUGGACGCACAAGAUUUUCGGGUUUAAAGAUAAGACUAAAGACACUGUGAAGGCGCGCAGAGAUCUUCAACUCAUGAACAUACGCCCUCACUUGUGGCUAACAACGUUGGGGUCAAUGCCUCUUGCACAUUACAGGAUUAAUCUGGCUAAUGAGAAGAAAGUUUUCAAAUGGUUUGAAGCUAUUAAAUAUCCUCAUGGUUAUGCAGGAAAUAUAUCUCGAUGUGUAAAAGCGGGGGAGAAUAAACUAUUUGGAUUAAAGACUCAUGACUGUCAUAUCAUGCUACAACGUCUUUUUCCAGUGGUAAUUCGACCAUGUUUGCAUCCUGAUGUGGUAGAGCCGUUAGUAGCGGUGUCUAGAUUCUUUCGGAAGUUAUGUGCUAGAGAGCUAAAGAAGUCAGAUGUCCAUGGAUUAAAAGAGGACAUUGUCUACAUUAUGUGCAAGUUGGAGCGGAUUUUCCCACCUGCUUUCUUCGACAUCAUGAUUCACCUCAUGAUCCACCUACUAGAACAAGCGCUGCUUAUUGGUCCAGUACACUAUACCUGGAUGUUCCCACAAGAAAGUAACACAACCGAGGCGGAGUCAUCCACAAACGUCUUCAAUCUUUCAAUUGUUUCAGAAGUUGUACGUUCAUUUUGUAACUUACCAAAUUCGUACAAGUUAACAAAAGCUGAGCUCCGUGAAGCUCAUUGGUGCGUGUUGGACCACUACUCUGAGGUUGACUACUAUAAAAAGAAACAUUUGGAAUUAAUCAUAGCAAGACAACCAUAUAGAGCUGAAGAGAUGCACAAGAGAUUUUUUCCUAAUUACUUUCUUAAUUGGAUUGAAGAACUCCUACGAGAGAACAGUACUGAUUACUCACAGGAGUUGCACAAUUUGGCAUGUAAGCUGCAACAUCACAGUGUACAUGGGGGGUGUUUUGUUAACGGUGUUAAGUUUGUGACAUUCUACCGGGAUGAAGAGUGGGCCACUCAAAACUAUGGGGUCAUGGUAGAUGGGGAUGAAAUUUGCUACUACGGGAUCAUACUCUCCGUUGUCGAAUUAUUAUAUGGAGCUGGUAUGCCAGUUGUGUUGUUCAAGUGUAAAUGGUUCAACACUGACCCAAGUUUACCGAGGAGUACGAAGAUGGAUCAUGGAUUUUUAUCAGUGAAUACAUCCACAAGCUGGUAUGAGAGUGAGCUGUUUAUUCUUGCCACCAUGGCAAAACAAGUGUUUUAUCUUGAUGAUCCGAAAGAGGGUGGGGAUUGGAAAGUGGUAAAUGUGAUGUCUCACCGAAACAUUUGGAGUGCAUCUACGCUUGAAGGGGAUGCAGAAGGAGCAUGUGAUGAAGAAGAGGCGCCAGAACCAUAUCAAGAAGAGUUAAGCAGUUAUAUUCCAGAUACACAGACUAUUCGCAUCAACAAUGACCCCCACUACGUACACGGGAAUGCGUUCAUUACAAUUCCUGGAUCUCAAGUCCCACAUGUUGACAAUGAGGAGGAUGAAGAUGAGAACGAUGAUGAAGAGACGCAUUAUGAGGAGGAUGAAGAGGAAGAGGAAGACGAAGAGGACGAUGAUACGGAGGAUGAGGAUUAUGAUGUCAAUGACAGAAGAUCGACUGCAAACAAGAGUAACCGGGACAAGAAGACAUUGCAUCACCACACCGGGGAGAGGCCUUUCAUCUACAAUGCGAAGGAAUUGAAGGACAAGGCUAGGGCUAAACUGAUGGAGAAGGUUGAUGAGAUCCGUGACAAUGUGAGGAAGGAAUACCCUGGCAUUCCGAAAGAAGAUAUUGAUCUUCAUUUUGACCAACAAACUCAAGCGAUCUUGUUUGAAAAAGCAUUUGGACAUAGAAACAUGAACGAGAUCCGGGGAAUGGGACUAGUAGGCAGUUAUGGUUUGAGUCAAGGCCCCGAUAGGAGCUGCACUUCACGUUCCCAACGAGCUGCACUUGUUGAUAUUGCUGUAGCUUGUGGAGUUGUUAGUGAGUUUGUUUCUUGUGUUUUUGUGAAGACGCAACGAGAGUAUUUAGUACUUGGCAAUUGCGGCGGUCAAAGACCUGACGAUACCAGCAUUAAUGUUGAAGAGAUCGUCUCGGGUCAUUCCGGGCUUACGUGGCACACCGGCCGGGAUAAUCACGACGUCGCAUCCCUCCAAGGCCUCGCCGAGCUGUUCCUCGCCAGCGUAGCCCUUGACCUAAAAUCACACAGCAAAAUCAGUCAAAAACCGUCGGAUCGGAGCAAAUCAGACACGAAUUCAGAGAGUAAGAAGCAGCAGUACCUCAGAUCUGGUGUUGAUGUGGCUGACGUCGGCGGCGACGCCGGGGGUGCCGGCGAUAUCGUAGAGGGAGAGCUGGGAGACGAGAGGGUUGAGCUUCAUGAGGAGAGCGAGGGGCUGGCCGAUGCCGCCGGCGGCGCCGAGGACGGCGACCUUGCGCUGGGGGGUCCGCCCUCAGGAUACCUACCAGAAGGCAAGCCGCCUGAGCUCGGUGGCAGUCCAUACAAAGAUGACCCAGUACCAGUGCCGCUACCAGCCGCCGCCGCCGCCGCCCUGGUUGCCGGCGGCGGCGAGCUGCGUGACGGUCAUGCGGCCGUCGAUCUUCUUGCUGGGCUCCUUGAGGGCGAGGUAUGCGGCGUCGACGUGCUUGAAGGUGACGAAGCCGUAGCCUUUGGACUUGCCGGUGUUCUUGUCGAGAAUGACGAUGGCCUCCUCGAGCUCGCCGUAGGCGGAGAAGAGGCUGCGGAGGCCCUCGGUGGUGGUGUCCCAACCGAGGCCGCGGAUGAAGAGCUUGCGCUGGGCGGUGUCGGGAUCGGCGAUGGAUCGGACGGCGUCGAGGACGUCGGAGUGGCGGGAGAUGGCGUCGAGGAGGACGUCGAUGAGCUGAUCGGGGCUGAAUCGCUCGAUGAUUUUGCGGGCGUCUUCGCGGUCGAGCUUGGGGACGGAGGAGGGGUCGGUGUCCAGAACGACGCCGUUCUCGUCGAGCUUGCGCUUCUUGAAACAAGGGACUGGUUUACUCACAGGCAGAGUAAUGAGAUCGAAGGAGCUCCGGCCACAAUCCGAAACCAAAGCAUCAGCGAUGAUCUUAACCCCGUGACAAGCCUCAACCCUCAGCUGCUUCUCCACAGAAGCCACGGUGACAUCAGCUCCGGCUCGGCGCAGAACAUCGACGGUGAUCACCGCCUCCAUCGGCUCCGUGCCGUUCGCAAUCGGAACCAGAACCUGCAAAAUUUCCAGAGUCAGUCUCGCACUCUCGCAGACACAAAUCCAGAGAAGAAGAUAGAGCAGAGAAUAAGGAAUGAUACGGAAGAUUCUGAGGAUAAAGAGGAGUUGCAGUUACUAGAGAUGUUUCUCAGCAAAGAAAUUGAGGAUCUGCAUGAUGAUGGCUUUGAGGGAUCCAAAACUGAGCGCUGUAUAUUCACAGAGGUUUUCUUUGGUGGUGACAGUGCUAGAACGAGUAAGAGAUGUCUUGUGACUGGAGUGAUUAACUUUGAAUGUGAGUCAAGUAAGGCCACAGAUACAUCACUCUCUUCAAACAGUGAAAACUCAAUUGUAACGAAUCAGUCAGACUCUAAAAAUACUAGUUUGGAGGAGUUAUAUAAUGCUACUGAAGAAUCUAGAGAAACUCUUGCACCAGGGUUUUCCCCAGAGAGAUCUGCUUGGCUGGAUAGGAAUGGUGAAGAUGCAAGUGCUAAGAGAAUGAAGUUAUCUGUUGAUGAAUUUCCUAGUGCAAAACCUGGUUUAGAAAAGGUUAUAAAUCCAUCCAUAGUUUCAAAAGAAAUGGUUUCUGGUAUGUCUGGUUCUACAGACUCCAUCACCGAAACAGUGACAUUUCGUUUGGUUGAAUCGUCUAGUGAGGGAGUUGCAUCUAGUUGCUAUCUGUUAAAGCAGCCUGCAAAACUUGACAGAGGGACCGUAUUAGGUGACUCUGAUGUUUCAAAGUGCAGAUUGCCAACUUCUGAUGGGAAUGAUGGAAAGGAACUAUGUCCAAGUAAAGCUGUUGCUUCACCUGUGUCCCAGGAGAGCUUUUCAACCAUGCUUUUGGCUACUGGUCCCUCUGUCACUCUAUUGGAUAAGUUGGGAACUCCUCUAGGUGCUGAGGGAAAUCUUGAGGGAUUGGAAUCUCCUGUGAUGGCUAGAUCUGCUAUUUCCUUCAAGAAAGACUCUUGUAAGGAUCCUCGUCCACUUCUCCAGUAUGAUGUCAAUUGCUUACUCGAAGCUGCAGGAUGGCAUAUUCAGAGGCGGAAAAGACGUUGUAGAUCUUAUCUGGAGUCUGUAUAUGUAACACCGAAGGGAAGAUUAAUUCGUGACUUCCCCAAAGCUUGGCGGCUGUGUGGUGAACUUUUGUUUGUAGAUAGAUGCAGUUCGCUGCAGAGAGAUGAUGCAAACGAAUGGGCCGAUAUCAGUCAGUUUUGUUCAGAUCUAUCUGGUGCUUUAGUAAAGUUUGAAAGAGAGAUUAAUCAACAAGAACCUGCUACUAGAUUGGCUUAUUUGUGGAGGCUCUUAGAUCCCUUUGUGAUUGUUGUGUUUAUUCAGAGAAAGAUUCUUGCUCUGAGAAAAGGGGAAACUGUUAAAGCAACUCACAGUUUAGCUUUUAAUACUAAUCGCAAGGUAUUGGCCUUGACUAAUGCGAAUAGUAUGAAAAAUCAUCUGGAGAAGGAAGAUGUUUCCGCUCCACUCUGUGAUACAAGUCAUACAACUCUGGCAGGAGGGAGUGGAUCUGCUAUCUCUGAAGGGAAUGUUAUGGAAGAUGCAUCAAUGGUUUAUUCUGAGGAAGAUCAACUGCUGGGAGGCAAGGCUUGUGUUAAGCUGGGAGGUAAUCUGCAGGGGUCAAUGGAGUGCCAACAAAAAUGUGCAAGUAAUGUUGUUUCGAAAAAGAAAACACGAAGGAAGUGUAGAAAGAUAUCUGAAAUGGAACCAAGCUCCAAUUCUAGAAAUAAUAUUGGUUUGCAAUGCAUUGAUGUCAGUGGUAACCAGUCAAAGUUGAAAGAGGUUGAGGGUGACCUUGCAGGAAAUAAAAGAAGUAAGGAAAGUUGCAUGAAGUCCUCACCUCUCAACUCCUCCCAGCAUGUAGUUGGUGAAAAAAGUCCCAAGUUUGUGAAAAAUUGUCGUGAAUAUGAUGAUGUUAAAUCUGGAAAGAAGAAACCAUCUAGAUGUGAAAUCAAAGAUGAUGACUUACUGGUUUCAGCUAUCAUUAAAAACACAGAUUUUACUGCAAGUCCUGGUCGAUGUUCUUCUAGAAAGAAAGGCCGCAAAUCUAGAGCUCAUAGGAAGCUUAAAAGUCAAAAGAGCCAUUGCAAGUUGCUUCUUAGAAGCCUGGGUAGUGUAGGAGUGAAAACGGUCCUGUCUUGGAUGCUUGAUGCUGGGGUCAUAUUUCUGGAUGAUGUAAUCCAGUAUCGGAAUACUAAAGAUGGUUCUGUUAUUAAAGAUGGUCUAGUUACCAGAGAUGGUAUUUUUUGCAAGUGUUGCAGUGAAGUACUUACAGUUUCUGAGUUCAAGAUCCAUAGUGGGUUCAGACUAAAUCGUCCAUGUUUAAAUCUUUUUCUGGAAUCUGGUAAGGCCUUCUCCUUAUGCCAGCUUCAAGCCUGGUCAGCCGAAUACAAGUCCAGGAAACGGCGCACUCAAGUGGUGCGAGCUGAUGACAAUGACGAAAAUGAUGAUUCUUGUGGACUUUGUGGUGAAGGGGGCGAGCUGAUAUGCUGUGAUAACUGCCCCUCUACUUUUCAUCAGGCUUGUUUGUCUCUGCAGGUGUGGAGGAGCUUCCUGAAGGCAGCUGGUAUUGCCCAAAUUGCACCUGUUGGAUAUGUGGUCAUUUUGUCACCAACAAAAAGGCUUCAAGUACUUCUGAUGGAUUUAAAUGUUCACAGUGUGAGCAUAAAUAUCAUGAGGCAUGUCAGAAAGGAAAAUCCAUACACGUACUGGAUUCUUGGUUCUGUGAUAGAAGUUGUCAAGAGGAUUCGUCAUCUUGGCAGGAAUUCCUUUAAAAUUGGGAACCCACUGGCGUUACUCAAGUUCAUUUAUGUUUACUCAGGUCUUCAGUCUCAUGUUGGCUACAUUAGUCAUGUUGUUGAUGGCUUUUCAUGGACACUUCUUAGAUGCAUCCAUGAUGACCAAAAGGUUCAUUCUGCCCAACGGUUAGCACUGAAAGCAGAAUGCAAUACAAGAUUAGCUGUUGCUCUUACUGUCAUGGAAGAAAGCUUUCUGUCUAUGGUAGAUCCUAGAACAGGCAUAGACAUGAUACCCCAAGUUUUGUACAGUUGGGGGUCAGAGUUUGCUCGUUUGAAUUUUCAAGGCUUCUACACUGCAGUCUUGGAGAAAGAUGAUGUGCUGAUAUCUGUAGCAUCCAUCAGGGUUCAUGGAACAACAGUUGCAGAGAUGCCGCUAAUUGCAACUUGUAGUCGAUACCGUCGCCAGGGAAUGUGCCGACGCCUUCUGACUGCUAUUGAAGAGAUGCUCAUAUCUUAUAAGGUGGAAAAGCUUGUAAUAGCUGCCAUUCCAGAUUUGGUGGGGACAUGGACAGGGGGUUUUGGGUUUAUACCUGUGGAAGAUGGAGAAAAGCAAAGCUUGAACAAGAUCAAUUUGAUGGUUUUUCCUGGAACAGUUUUACUCAAGAAGCCAUUAUGUGAAAAUAAAACAGCAUAUAGACAUCCUGGAACAUGUGAUACAUCAUCCUUGGAAAUGGAAGGAUCAAGAAAAGAACGUCCCAUGGUUGAGUUUGUGCACUCUGAUGAUAUUUCUUGUGGAAACAAAACUGGGGCUGAAGCAGGAAUUGAAUUUGUAGAAGGUACUAAUUUACAAGAAGCUGCUGAUGGUAGUAAAUUAUUUAUAACUGAUGACACUGGGAAAUCAGAAGAAGGAAAGAACCAAUCAACUAAAGUAGGUAUUCAAUCCAGAGAGACCAUUGUUGGGUUUGUACAGCAACAUGUUGUCCAGUGUUCUGCUAGUAGAAAUGAUGCUGGAAUGGAAAUGAAAAGCAAGAAGUCGCUGAAAUCUAAAUCUUAUGUGGAAAUUGGUAUUGAGGCUGUAAAACAAUUGGAUGGAAUAUGUCAUGCUGACAUAGUUGCUAAUGCUGUUAGACUUGAAGUAGAGAAUCUCCAGGGAUUUGAACCUGUACAGGAGUCGGAAAUCUGUUGCCAGAUUGCAGUAGGCAAUGAGUCAGACUCUAGACAGAUGACUGGCAAGGAUUUGCUGGAAUCUGAAGUUGGCAAUGAAACAGAAGAUAGAGUUUCUGACAGCAAUAAUGUGCAAGCAGGCGAAGCCAAAGUAUGUCAUUUGCAUGAGCAAUUUUCAAAGCUGUCUUUUGAAGAACCAGCUUCAGCAGUAGAAAAUAGGCAGCUGGAAAAAGCUACUAAUGUUGAAUCCUUAGAAAUCAUGAAUGCCGAGGCGAGGAGGAAUCGGGCGGUGAGGUUAGUGGAGGCAGUGGAGGAGUUCAAGGAGGACUUCGGCGAGGCGGCAAACUACACCUUCCCCGUCGCCGGUGACAAGAACUCCGAGGACGACUUCGAUGCGCUGACGACGACAAAGGGCGACGGAGCUAGCGCAGCCGCUCGUGGAGGUCGGAAUCGAGUUCAAGAUCCACAUCAGGAAGGAUCGGGACAUGAAGGAAAGGCUGUGCUUAGAGGUGGAGCGGCUAGGGCUCAGUUCCGUCAUUAUGGGCAGCCGAGGGUUCAGCGCCGUCAUUUCCUUCAAGAGGAGCGUCGUCGCCGCCUUCAAGAGGAACCUCAAGCUACAUGGCAACUCCGUCGAACAUGGCAUGACUGGCUAGCUGUAUGUUGUGAAGAUGCAGCGGCUAAUGAUGCAGAGCCACAACUUCAACUAGUGCCUUUGCCUUUUAAGAUUCAUAUGGAGCGAAAGGUUGGAGUAAGUGAAAAAGAACCAAAGAAGAACUUAGCUAUCAUGGCUGGUCAGAAAACAACGAAUUCCUUUCUUGUGGAGUUUCUAAGAGGCUGUUUUCGGAAUCGGCGUGAUGCAGAAUGGGGGAUUCUAGAUGAGAAGAAGGAUCGAGCAUUUGAACUUGGAUAUAAGCUCUCUUCCCUGCUGGCUCGAUUCUUGUUCUUGGUGUCUUUGAAGGAACCGGAGGAGGUGAUCAGAAGGUUGGUGAAGUUUGGUGCUUCGUUGAAAGUUUUGGUUGCAGAUGACCAGAAUAGUGUGAUAGUCGAAAAGGUUACCACUGUAUUGAAGAUGACAUAUAAGGAGCUGAGAGACAGGAAUAUUACUGAACCAGACAAGGUGAAAGAUCAAAGGGUAUUGGAUGAUGAAUUCAAGCUCCUUACAGAAUUCUAUGGAGUUGACAAGGUCCUCGAUCGAUUCAUGACAGAACUUCUUAGUUUGAAUGCUGUUCUGAGUUCUCCAAAUGUAAGCGUACCCCUUUGUUUAGUGGAGCCUGGUCUGAACCAUUGCGAGAAAAAACUCAUAGGGCUACAAGUGGUGGUUGAGACACUGGAGGUAUAUGCGAAUUGUACCCAGGAAUCAGAGAACAUUAGUGCAAUUGUGCAACAGAAGAUCCAGAUUUUGUGGAGUGAAGAGCUACAAGUUUGCAGUCCUGAAUUUGUAUCGCUCGAGAUUGAAGAGGAAUGGAGUAGCUUGAUGGAUUAUGACAAGAAAUUGGAAAGAAACGGACCUGAAGAGAAUAACCUUAAGAGGUUUGGCCCUACUGAGCGUAAGCUCACCCCUAUAGAAUUUUGUUCAGUCAUCCUCAUGGCCUCUGCGCACCCAAACAUUGAUCUCUCACCCUCUUUGAAAGGAUCGAAGAAUGAGAUUUCCUCUCCAGCGUCAUCUUUUGGCAAAAACCCUAGCAUAGCCAAUAUGCUAGCAUCCUCAUCCUCUUUGGGUUUUCAAAACCCUAGUCAAGCAUAUGCGGCCUCCUUGGCCUUGGCUAACUCGAAGGCUGUCAAUCUCUCAGAUCAUGUCUUUGCUCCUCCCAAGAAGAAGAUGCAAGAGGAAGAGAAACCUCCCACCAUCUCCCUUGAACCAGUUGAAGGCCAAAAGAAGAAGUGUGGGCGUCCCAUCGGCUCCAAAAACACGAAGCCAAAAAGAAGUGCUAAUUACGAAGAUCGGACUUCUACCAUGACUUUGCCUGCAGCGCCCCCGAGCCCUAGCUGGAAGGGCAAGGAGCCCCAUAACAGCGCGGCUUGUCAAUCUCUCACCCAAGAAGUUCUCGCUCGGUUUGGCACACCCGACCAUAGCGGAACCAUAAUGACAGGUUCACGACCAACCCAGGACGCAGGACCUACUCUGCCAGCGGACGAAGUCCGCCAGAUGUUUGGGGAACUGAAGAAUAAUCUCGACUCACUCAGCUCGAAAGUCGACACCACCCAGCAAAGUGUCAAAGACCUCUCUGAACAGGUCACUAAGGACAGAACUAUCUGGCUCGCUAACCAAGAAAACCUUUCUAGGCUCAGCGAGGAGUUUAAUUACGUUGCUGGUCAAGUCAGGGAGGACAAAGACUUGGUGGAAGGUUCCCUUCAAAGGAUCCAGAAAGAAUUGGAUCAGACCAAGGUGACUUUCACCAAAACCCUGCAGCUUACCCGCGCAACCGUGGGUGAGCAGACCCGUUGCUUGGACGAACACGACACCAAGCUACAGCAACAGCAGGACACUUCUUUCUUUGGAAGCAGGAACAGCAUGGAAAAGCUUGAGGACUACAAAGAGCGACAUGAUAAUCUGAGCAUAAGGGUCCUGCAAGUGGAAGACUGGAUACGGGCUCAGACACCAAAAAAUCAUGCCUUGAACUUAGCUAGUUCAAGUGCAACUGAGGGCUCAAGGUACAUUCCACCUAAUGAACGCCCUAGAGGAAAUCCGAAGGUCGGGGCCCAGAAGACUCCCCAAUUCACAUUGGGGGCCAGUUCGUCAAAGACGCCACCCCUUCUACCCACGCCAGGCUGCCCUGGAGUCACACUCAGGGGCGCCGGUGUCUUCCCAUCUGAAGGGAUCGGGACACCAGAUGACCCAGUUAUAGCUUAUUUCAGUUCGACCCCUAAGAACAUCGUGCAGGUCCCUAGCCUCUCUGCGUGGCAUGGCCACGAUCAGGGGGCAGAGUCCACACCAGUAACGGCAGCCGAUUGGCGCCAGCUCAUCUCGAACAUAGUCAAGGAGCAAACCGGAAAAGGUGAUACUAGCUUGCAUUAUCGUGACCCCUAUCCAGAUAGCGUGGCACAAUAUCUUUUCCCUCAUGGAUUUAAGAAUAUUUUUUUCACCACUUUCUCCGGAGAGACAAGGAAAGACGCAGCAACACAUAUGGCUCGUUUCAAAGUCCAAUGCGGCCAAUACGGGAAUGAUGAUAUGCUCAAAGUCAAGCUUUUUGGGACGUCUCUAUCCGGAGUUGCUUUUACCUGGUAUUCCAGAUUGAAGCCUGGGUCAAUAGCUGACUGGCCCACUAUGGAGAGGCUUUUCCGAGAGACAUACGGCACAAUUGAACCUGAAGUCGGCCUCGAUUCCCUCACACAGAUGAGCCAGCAAAGCAUGGAGUCUGGAGUUUCCUUCCUCCAGCGUUUCAAGAUCCAGCAAACCAAAUGUGAUUACCUGUUACCUGAGCAGGAAGCCGUUAAGUUGGCUAUCAGAGGCCUGGAGCACCGCCAGCGGUUAAAGCAUCACGAAGAGCGCUUUACUUCCAUGGGCGACCUGAUUAACAAGGUCGGUAGCUACGAGCUAAUCCUAAACGAGUUGGAUGACAAAGCAAAUGCCUCCAAAGGAACUUACAUACCAGGGAAGAAUCGGACAGUGGGGACAUUAAGCCUGCAGGCCCCUACUUAUGAUUCCUAUUAUCAAAGGUCUGAGGAAACUCGCCCGGAUCAGGAACAUGAAGAUAUUGGCACGGUAGAACUGACUGGCAAGCCAUUGGCUCACAAAUUGAAAAACCUGAAGAUAACGCGCGAGCCAAUCACCAUCCAGUCCUUUGCAUGGACCAAGGCAGAGUACGAGUCAUACACCUAUGAUGCUAAGAACGCCCAUCUGGUCUUUAAUGACCUCAUCGAGGCAAGAUACGUGCGCUUGGAUCACAAGAUACAGGCGGUACCUUCAUCCCCUACCACAAGUGAGAUGGACAUGUCAGACUCCAGCGAUGAACGUCACAACGACGAGGCCUCGAGCCCUCGUAAAGGCGUCCUAACCGACCCCUAUAUUCCCCCGACAUCCAAAUCAGCGAUCAAGGAUGGGGUCUGGUACACACAGCAAGGGGGCAAGGCAGUUACCAUCAGCAGGUCUAAGAAGCGAAAGCUCCAAAAGCGAUACGGUAGUAUCCUACGUACCUUACGGGUUGUCGAAGAGGGCGCUUUGAGCGACGAGCCUGCACCCAAAGCAAACGUCUUUUGCCGACUCACGGUUCCACCAAAGCAGGAUCCACAAACUUCCAGGCGCAGGCCAUCACCAGAACCUGAAAGAAGAAGGGAUCCACAACCUUCCAGGCGCAGGCCAUCACUAGAACCUGAAAGAAGAAGGGAUCCACAACUUGCUAGACCCAAACCGUCACCAGAGCCUGAAAAGAGAAGGGAUCAACAAGCUCCCAGGCACAGGCCGUCAAUAGAGCCCGAGCAGAGAAGGGCUCCGCCUACCGGUCCUAGGCCCCUCACGGCAACGGAACGUCAAAAUCCGGAGGCCAAUAUCAGAAGGGAGCCACCACCACCACAGCAGCCUCGGGCACGGUCUACCCCGGAGCCCGAGACUCGGAUGGUUCCCAGAGUAUCCGCCCUACAACGGUUGAAAAAAGAAGACAACGAUAAGGCUCCUCUGGCAACAGACAAACAACCGGCCAAGGACCAUCAGCCUUCAACCAAGUCAGUAUGGCGUCCGCGGCAACCCGAGGCUCAAGAGCCACCAAUAGCCGCACAGGCGCCCUCCAGUCCUAACCUCGCCCAACAAAUGGCCCAGCGUUUCCGCGAGAAUUCAGAAGACGACGAGGCACAUUCAGAACCUCGACUUGACCUAGAGGAAGACCGGGACGAAGAGCAGGCAGAAUCAUUCACCUGUAAUAUGAUAGAGGUCUCAGGAUGGGAUGCUGAUGAAGGGCUUAGCAGCGAAGCAGACGCUUUCGCGAUGCUCGAAGGGGAACACGGGAUCAUUGACACUCCUCUGGUCCCAGUUCCUGAACAAUUCUCCUUUCAAGUCGGGAUGGUGUUCUUCAUUUCGGAAAGAUACGCUCUCCCACCAAACACAACCUGCAGUGCGGCGGAUAUUCCCGUCAGCAGCGAGGAUGUCGGGCCGGCAUCACGGGUUUACACCUUUUUCGUCGCCGAAUGCGCUUCUUCUUACAGCAUGAUUCUUGGCCGAGAUUGGAUUCACAGAAGUUUUUGCGUGCCUUCCUCCAUGCACCAAGAACUCAUGAUUUGGGACGCCGAGAACCGUGAAGCAGUCAUCAUCAAAGCCGACCCGCGGCCAUUCUCUAUCUCCGCCAACUUCAACGAUGCCCGAUAUUAUAUUACAGACUUGGGUCCGUUGGAUGUUCAAGGCGUCGAUAACAAAGGACGCCCAUAUGGAAUAACGGCCUCCAAUCUAACGCGAUGGGGACUUACCCAGGCGAAGGACGAUUUGCAACGUCCUCACACCAUCGCGAAACGUGAAGCCUACGACAAGGUCGCGACUAUGGAAUAUGUAGAUGAAGUGGUGGAUUAUUCCGAUACCAAGGAGGAAGUUAUUCAUUUAGCUCCCGCCGCCUUGGACGACACACCACCUCAAGUCCGCGACCCCAUUUCACAAGUUGACGUAGGGACUGCAGAAAAGCUCUUACUUAUUUCUAUCAGUGCCAAGUUGGCGGAGGACGAAAAUGAAACCCUUCUUGCCCUGUUAUGCGAGUACAGGGAUUGCUUCACCGACAAAUACGAAGACAUGCCCGGCUUGUCCCCGGACUUGGUCUGCCACCGGUUACCAACUUAUCCCGACCGACGUCCAGUACGGCAGGACGGCCGAUUCUUGCGAACUGAGACUCAGAUCGUAGUCAAGGAAGAGAUUGAAAGCAUGCACCGAUCGAGCAUCAUUCGCGUGGCAAAGUAUAACGAGUGGCUGUCCAAUGUUGUCCCCGUCCGCAAGAAAAAUGGCAAGAUUCGCGUCUGUGUUAAUUACCGCGACCUAAACAACGCAACACCGAAGGAUAUAUACCCCAUGCCUGUGGCUGACCUACUCAUUGAUGCCGCCGCGGGGCACGAGGUGUUAUCAUUUAUGGAUGGAACGGCCGGAUACCAUCAGAUUCCCGUCGCUGUGGAAGAUCGACACAAGACCGCUUUCCGCUGCCCUGGUUUUGCCGGCGCGUUCGAGUACGUUGUCAUGCCUUUCGGACUUAAAAACACGGGGGCAACGUACCAACGCGCCAUGAACCUCAUCUUUCAUGACAUCUUGGGGAAGUUGAUCGAAGUAUACAUCGACGAUGUGGCCGGCGAUUUCCUUGGUUUCCUAGUGCAUCAAAGAAGCAUCGAAAUCCCAAAGGACAAGGCACAGGCGGUAAUCACCGCUUCACCCCCAAAGACGAAGAAGGAGCUUCAACAGCUGCUUGGGCGAAUCAACUUUCUCCGCCGUUUCAUAUCCAACGCGGCAGGGAAGGUCCAGCCUUUUUCACCCCUCCUCAAGCUCCAGGGGGCAACCAAGUUCGUCUGGGAACCACAACAUCAACAGGCCUUCGAUCGAAUCAAGGACUACCUUACGAACCCACCAGUCCUGAUCCCACCUCGCGAUGGUACCCCGCUUAAACUUUAUAUCGCCGCUGCAGACUUGUCCAUCGGCGGACUCCUGGCCCAAGACGAUGUGAACGGGGUAGAACACGCUGUCUAUUACCUUAGCAGGGUGUUAACUGAGUGUGAGGCACGAUACUCACCUAUGGAGAAGUUGUGUCUUACCCUAUAUUUUGCAGGGUGCAAGCUGCGCCAUUACAUGCUUGCCUUUACCACGGUUGUGAUCGCUCAAUCCGACCUGGUCAAAUACAUGCUCUCCCGCCCUGUCUUGCGGGGACGCAUCGGCAAGUGGAUCUUAGCCAUGUCCGAAUUCUCGUUGCAAUAUGUUCCGCAAAAGGCAGUAAAAGGACAAGCAAUAGCAGACUUUCUCGCUCAUCACCCACCCUCAGAGCUCACGGCGUUUCGCGAGUUGGAAUUCGCUCCUGUGGCACUCGCUCCAUGGACCCUGUACUUUGAUGGUUCACGGACUGAUACCGCAGCCGGAGCUGGGAUAGCCAUAGCCAAUCCCGCUGGAGAUCGCUUCUCCUACUCGUUCCAGCUCGAUUUCAAAUGUACCAACAACCAGGCUGAGUACGAGGCGCUGAUCAUCGGACUAGAGAUUUUGUUGGAUUUAGGAGUCCGCGAGGUUCAGAUCUUUGGCGAUUCUUUGUUAGUCGUUAACCAGCUGGUGGAAAAGUUCAAAUGCUUAAGCUCGUCCAUUGAACCAUACCUGCGCAAGGCAUUUGAGGUAUUGGAUCGAUUCGACGACGUCUACAUCGAGCACAUACCACGUGAGUUCAACUUCGCCGCCAACGAACUCGCCCAGAUAGCAUCCGGCCUCAGCCUGCGCGACAGCGUGCGCGAACGUUUGCUCAAAGUCGAACGCCGUACGCUUCCCUCUUUCAUCGCUAGGGGGCAAUUUCAGGCCGACACCCCUGACGUUGCGACCUUGGACCCUAUCGACGAGGAUUGGCGGCUACCAUUUAUCGCCUACCUCCAGAACCCCAACGACGCCGCUCAUUCCAGGCAAAUACGUUUCCUCGCCUUAAACUUUGUUUUACGCAAUGGCGAACUCCGGCAGCGUGGGGAAGACGGAAACGAUUUCCGCUGCGUGUAUGGGAACGAAGCUAAACGUAUCAUGCGCGAGGUCCAUUGUGGGGUUUACGGCUCGCACCAGGCCGGGCCAAAAAUGCGAUGGUUGAUCCGUCGCCAUGGGUACUACUGGCCAACCAUUCUGAAAGACUUUAUUGCCUUCGCCAGAGGUUGCCAAGACUGCCAGGCUCACGGACCAGUGCAACACAUUCCCAACAUCCCGUUACAGCCUAUCAUUAAACCUUGGCCGGGUCGCGGUUGGGCGAUAAAUUUCGUUGGCAUCAUUCAUCCCCAUUCUUCUGAGCAGCAUAAAGUGCAUCGUUACGGACAUGGGGCAGCUUUCAUGGCUGAUUCAGUUGUUAAGUACUUAAACGACUACGGAAUCAAGCUUCUCCACUCUACGCCAUAUUAUGCACAGUCCAACGGCCAGGCGGAGGCUAGUAAUAAGGUCAUCCUUGGCAUCCUCCGCAAGAUGUUGGAGUUGAACCCGCGUGUCUGGCAUGAGGAACUCUACCACACCUUGUGGGCUUACCGCACUUCGAAGCGCGGCCCGACGGAUACCACCCCGUACGCUCUCAUGUACGGUCAUGAUGCCGUCCUUCCCUUUGAGAUCAAUAUCGCUUCACUCUGCGUUCAAGAACAGCAUCAACUACUUGACGAGGAUUACGUCCAAGCCAUGUGGCAGGAGCUUGAAGAUCUUGACGAGCACCGCGUCACCGCUUUCAACAAUCUCGUCCUCGAGAAACAACGCAUCGCACGUUCGUAUGAUAAGGUCACGCGCGGACGCAGUUAUGCUGAGGGCCAGAAGGUGUGGCGCGCGGUACUCCCACUUGGGGAAAAAACCGAUGGUCGGGGCAAGUGGUCUGCUCGAUGGGAAGGCCCCUUUAUUAUUCAUUGUAUACUUCUCAAGGGGGCAUACCACCUGCGCGACUUGGACGGUCCCAUUCAUCGCAAUCCUAUUAAUGGCCGCUUCCUCAAGCGCCACAUUGCAGGAGUUUGGGAACGCGAGGAUCCUCCACCUCCCCCAGGCCCCGUCGCCACUGUCAAUAGUGCUAUGCGCCUUCGCCCGGCUGACGAGCUUGUUCACUCCCCCUGCCUUAAGCGACUGGCCAACCAACAAAGUGUCUGUCGGGUAGUCGAAGCUUUGCCAAACGAAAACGCCCUUGGAGUUGUAGAGGACCAAGUUUCCGGUUGGAAGCAACUUGAGGCCGACGACACCCUUAUUGGCCGUGUUGGUUUGCCAUGCAACGCGGCCGUCGGCGUCGGCCAAGACGAGGUUUCCGUUGGUCCCGAAGGUGAGGGUGGCAUUUUCGCCAACGGGGUUUCCUCGGUUGGCCUCCCAAACCCAACGGAAGAGGGACUCCGAGCGGGUCAGGCCCAUCCGGAGAGCCAAAGUGAAGGCAUUCGGGGUGGUGUUGUAGAAGGCAAAUUGGAAAGGAGAAGCAAAGAUGCUAAGCAUACGGUAGCUUCCGUCGUAUUCUACAAUGUAAGGGCCAAACUCUUGGUCAUUGACAAACUUGAAAGUUUCGUUUGCCGGGACUUGAGCCUGAGCAAGAAAAGCAAAGAUUUGGAGAACUUCAGCUCGAGCUUACAUCAGAAAAAGCUACCAUUUGGGGCUAUCAUCAGGAUCCUUUCAUGGCAACUAGCCCAAGGCGUCCAAAAUAUGCCAGAGAACUCAUUGCAGUACGCAAAUGACAAUGCUCUGCUGCUGGCUAAGGUGCUUCAAGAUAAUCAGCAAAUCAAAAUGGACCCUUCCCUCAGUAAAACCCUAAACCCUUCCCUCUCUCUCCUCGCCCCAUUUCCGAACCCUCUCCGCCAAACCCUUACCUUCAAGCCUCUCAACCCCCAUAAACACUUCUCCAUCAGAGCCGUCUCCCAAUUCCCCCAAAUUUCCGGCCCCAAUUUCACAUUUUCCCGCCAAAUUCCGAGGGACCUGCGCGCGUUCGCCGGCCGGAGCAAGAAGAAGGCCGGAGGAGGUCAAGGAGGCUCCACCGGAGACGGCCGAAUCGAUGCGAACUCCGAGUUUCGCAAGGCGGCGAAGAGAAACGCUCGCCGGAAAACCAAGAAGCUCGCCGAGUCGAUGUUCUACCGGCUCAAGAACCCUCACCGGAACUACCCGGACAACUUCACGCAGGACGAGCUGCAGCAAAUAGGGCUCGGGUACGACCGCAUGGUCCGGUUCAUGGAGAAAGACGACCCGAAUUUGCGCCACCCGAACGAUUGGUACAAGUACGGCGAGUUCGGGCCCUACUCGUGGAAAGGAGUCGUCGUCGGCGACCCGGUUCGGGGGCGGUUCACUGACGAAAGAGUGACGAUAAUGAGUUCAGUUAGGGAUGAGGAAGAGUGGGAUAAGAUAGAGCAAUUUGAGAUGAGUCAAGAUUUUGGGAAGAGACUGACUCAAUUGGAUAAGAAGAUUGGGCAUAGGUACUAUUGGGUGUUUGUGAGGCACCCGAAAUGGAGGGUUUCGGAACUGCCGUGGGAGCAGUGGACUUUGGUUAGUGAGCUGGUGGUGGAAGCUGAGAAGAACAAGAGGUUGGAUAAGUGGAGCUUGAUGGGUAGGCUUGGGAAUUUGACUAGGUCUUUGAUAACUAAAUGUGCAGCGUGGAUGAGGCCGGAUAUUUUGUAUGUCAAGAGGCCGGUGUUUCAGUGCCGGUUUGAGCCUCAGGAUGAUUUCUUCAAUGCUUUGGUGCCGUUUUUGGAUCCAAAGACGGAGCAGGAUUACAUGUUUCAGUUGGAGAGAGAGGAUGGGAGUGGUGAGAUGUGUACUUAUUAUGGGGGGUUGUGUAAGAUUGUGAAGGUGAAUCAGAAGGCGUAUGUGGAUGAUGUGGUUAAGGCUUAUGAGAAGUUGAGUGAUCAGGAGAAGUCUAGGUGUUUGGGGUUUUUGCUGGAGAAUCAUCCUGUUAAGUUGUUGCAUCCGUAUACGAAAGAGUGGAAGGCUAAGUUGGAGGAGUGGGAGUUGGGUUGUGAUGCUCCGGAUAGUGAUGAUGCUGACCUCCCUAUCAAUGCGGCAGAGAAGGAGUUUACGGAUUGGGUUGAGGUUGAUGAUGAGGAUGGCAUUGGGGGUGAGGAUGAGGAUGAGGAUGACAGUGACGGUGACAGUGGUGAGGAAAGUGAUGUUGUUAUAGAUAUGGAAAAGGGUGAAGAUGAUAUCUUGGGUGUCCAGGACGAGGAUUUGAGUGAAGAAGAGGAUGAGAAGUAUUGGGAGGAUGAGUUUAGAAAGGCCGCGACUAGUGCUGAAGCAAUGGAAAAGCUAGCAAAACGGAGUGUAGAGAUAACUGAUAAGUUUUACAAUAAACAGUUGAGGGGAAUGGAAGGAAAUAAAAGUGGGAACUCGGUAGAUGAUGGUGAUGAAACUGCCAUGAGGGGAAGAAGACCGAAAAUAAGUGAAGAAGAAUGGAAGCUUGCUGGGUAUGGUCCAUGGAAGAAAAGAAUUAAGAAGAGUAGAAUUCCUCCACAGUUGUUCUUGCGAGCAGCAGUUAACUUCUAUACUUACAGAAACCUUGUGAAGGAGAUUAAACCCUCAAUGUCGUCUUCUUCUCCGACCCAUGUGGAAGCCCAGUACGCCAAGUCCGGCAAUUCGUCGUGCAAGAAGUGCUCGGAGCCGAUUGAGAACCAAGCUCUGAGGCUGGGCACCAAAGACGCGCGUGGCUAUACUAAGUGGCACCACUUGGGUUGCUUCAGUUUUGGGUCCGAGUCUGUUGCUUCGGUUGACAUGAUUAAAGGGUUUCAGUCUCUCAAGAGUAGUGAUCAGGAAGCUUUAAAGGAUGACCUUGAGAAAUCUAAAGAGGAGGAUUCAAAUGGAAAGAAAAGCAGUCAAAAUCGAAAGGUUCGUGAAGUAAAAGAGGCUGAAGAUGAAAAUGUAGGGGAGAGGGAGUUGAAGAAACCAAAGAAGGGUUCUUCUUCUGCUGUGAUCCAUGUUGAAGCCGAGUACGCCAAGUCCAGCAGGUCCUCAUGCAAGAAGUGCUUGGAGCCGAUCGAGAAACAAGCUCUGAGAUUGGGCACCAAAGACACCCGUGGUUAUACCAUGUGGCACCACUUGGGUUGCUUCUCUUUUGGGUCCGAGUCUGUUGCUUCGGUUGACAAGAUUAAAGGGUUUCAGUCUCUGAAGCAUGGUGAUCAGGAAGCUUUGAAGAAUUUGGCAGAUGAAUUUGAGAAAUCUAAAGAUGAGGAUUCAAAUGGAGAGAAAAGUUCUGAAAAUCAAAAGGUAUCCAACUUGGAAAUAUCCUUUUCAGUGUCUGAUGUGAAGGACAAGUACAAGGAUGCAACUCUUCCGCCUAAAUGGAAGGCAUUUCAGACUAUCAUAUAUCUCGAAAGGGAUGAUGGUCUGCAUGAUUCAAGUAAAAUUGCAGCUUUUGAUUUUGAUGGAUGUCUUGCAAAUACUGAUGUUAGGAGAGUAGGUGCCGAUGCUUGGUCCCUAAUGUAUCCUUCAAUACCUGAUAAGCUACGGAGCUUGUACAAGGAUGGCUACAAGCUGUUGCAUGGGUUUGCAUUGUGUGGAAGUUUGAGGACACUGACUCUUUUCCAUCAUCAGGUGAUCUUCACUAAUGAAGCCAACAUUGAGCGCUGGAAAAAUAAAAGACAAGUAGCUGUGGACUCAAAAAUUGGACGUCUCAACGAUUUUAUCAAGGAAGUGAAUGUCCCAAUUCAGGUUUUCAUAGCCUGUGGGCCGAGUCGAGGAGAAGAUCCCUUUCGGAAACCCAAACCGGGGAUGUGGCAUAUUUUGGAACAACACUUCAACUCUGGCAUUUCCAUCGAUAUGGAUCAAUCUUUUUAUGUUGGUGAUGCUGCUGGAAGAAGCAAUGAUCACAGUGAUGCUGAUCUCAAGUUUGCAGAGGCCAAUGCAAUGGAUCCCUAUCUCGAACAAAGACUCAGAGACGAAGUCAUCUACCUCCACUCUCUCUGGCACCAAGGCCCCCCCAAUCGCCGCAACCCCACUCCCAUCUUCCCCAACCCCACGCCCCGCCCCGCCGCAAUGCCCCACUUCCCCUACCCGAUCGCCGCCGCCGCCCCCAAACGUAAGUCCACAACCCAAUUCGAAACCCCCACCCCCAACAAGAAGCCCUUCCAACCCGACCCGCGUUGGGAAUCCCCGGGUCCGACCCGGCCCGACGACUCCACCUGGCCUCAGAGUUCGCCGCAGCUCAGUUUAGCUCCGGUUUCGGAGGAAGAGAGGCUACGACAGCGCGCGGUGAAGCUUCACGCGCGGGCAUUGGAGGUCUGCGGCGGGUUCUUUGCCGGGUCGGGUAGUGGGUCCGAGAGUGAGGAGGAGGAGGAGGAGGAGGAUGAGGAUGGGGAGAAUGAGGAGUAUAAGCUGCUGUUGAAGGUGUUUGUGGAGGAGAGUGAGUUGAGGAAGUUUUACGAGGGGAAUUGGGAUGAAGGCGAGUUUUAUUGCUUGGUGUGCGGUGGGUUGGGGAAGACGAAGAAGGUUAAAGGUUGUGUGGGGCUUGUUCACCAUGCGAUAUCGAUUAGCAAGACCAAGAAGAAGAGAGCGCACCGGGCUUUCGGGCAGAUUGUGUGUAGGGUUUUAGGGUGGGAUUUCCGCAGGAUGCCUUUUGUUGUGCUCAAAGGGGAAAAGCUUAGUUUUUAUUUGGCAAACCCCGGUGUGGAACAGGCUGUGUUUGAGGUAAAUGCUCGUGAUCGUGAGGGUGUUUCCGGUGGUGUUAAAGACAAUGUGGGAGAUGAAAGGGAUGCUGAUGCUGUGUCGGGUGGAAAGGGUGCAAUUGAUGAGGACGUAAUGAACUCUUUAGACGAUGAUGAUGCAAAUCAAUGCAAAGACAUACUUGAUAAGGGGAUAUCAGAAACAAAGGAAGACAUAGAAGAAGCGGUGGAUACGCGGGGUGAGCCUGAGGUAAAUGCUGACCAGUUGGAUAAUGUACCUGAAAACAAUGUGGCAGCUGAAAAUGAUGCUCCUGCUGAAUCUAGUGAAAAUGAGGCAACCGCUGAUCAUCAGUGCAAUGAUAAAGAACAAAUGAUCUGUCAGAGCUCUUUGAACGAUGAUGGUACGGAUAAAAGCAGAGUAAGCCUUGAUGAGGGAAAUAUAGUAUCAAUAAACGAAGCAACCCGAGAAGAAGCAAACGAAGGAUUGGGUGAGUCUGAGGUGUGUGCUGGUUCUUGUGAUGGUGUUUUUGGUGUUAAAGACAAUGUGGCAGCUGAGAAUGAUGGCAAUGCUGGAUUGGGUGAAAAAGAGGUAUUUGAUGAUCAUCAGAUUAACAGUGAAAAUCAAAUGAUAUGUCAGAACUCUUUGAACACUGAUGAGUCAUCUCAAAACACAGAAACCCUCGAUAAGGUAAUAUCAGAAGUCGAACCAAAGAAAGAAGAUGCACUGGAUACAGGGGUUGAAAUUUCAGAAAAUGCUGAUGACAGUCAUGAUUUAGUUGUUUCCAAAGAAAACUUGGAUAUUGUCAGUAGAUAUGAUGGUGAAAUAGGUUCAAAGGAGGAACCUGGGGCGGCCUUGGUUGAUGGAACACCAAUGGCAUCCAAGUUGCAGGCUGAACCUGAGAAACAUGUGGAUAGUCCCAAUGAUGAUCUGAAUGUCUUUUUGGAGAAUUUAGAACCCCUGUCCAUAUCGUUUAUAAACAUUCUGGUGAUUGCUGCAUUAGCUUGGUACAUGUUGAAUCGAGGAUCUGAGAGUGAUGAUGUUCAUGAAUGCUACACUCUCAGGCUCUCAGCAGAGAUCCAGAUCGACGCCGAUAGCCACAACAAUCUCCCGCCGAUGACUCUCGACCACCCUGAAUCUCAAGAUUCCGAAGAAAUCAAGAUCGAUCAAGAUUCGGUCUCCGAUUGCGAAUCCGAGUCGGUUCCGGAGAAUCUGUUAGGGGCUUUCACUGAGAACGAAAUGAUGAAGAGAGUGGUGGGGAUUGAGCGUGACGCGAUUGUGAAGAGCUUCGUCGCCGGCAUGGGGGAGGCCGGAAAAGAAACCAGAGUUGUGGCUCUGCAUAGGAAUUUGAGCUCUGGACUGACACGGAAGGCGAGGCUCGAUGCGUUUAGGGUUUUCACGGAGGCGGUGGCGAGGAAAUGCGGUGGAAAUCCGAAUAUCAGGUAUGGUUGUUACGGCGGAACGAAGGAUGAGAUUGCUGAGAUUUUGGUUCAUGGAUUUAGCGCGAGGAAUGAGGCGGUUCGUGGUAGGGUUCAUUUGGUUCCGGUGAAAUUCGCGGUGGAUGCGGCGGCGGCGUCUGGUGUUGAUGAGGAUGGGAUGAGGCAUGUGUUGAUUUGUAGGGUUAUAAUGGGGAAGAGUGAGUUGAUGCCUGUGGGAUUUAAUCGGAAUGGGCCGUUUUCGAGUGAGUUUGAUUCGGGUGUGGAUAGUAUGCUGGAUCCUAGGAAGUACAUUGUGUGGAGUGCUUCGAUGAAUUCGCAUAUCUGUCCUGUUUAUGUUGUGAGCUUCAAGGCGCCUGGCUGCUUGAACAAGUAUGCAGCUCCUCCUCAGAAGGCUGUUAGCUUUGUUGAUCUGUUGCCGGUGCUUGCUAGGUCUUUGGAACCGGAGAAAAUGGCUGUGUUGUACAAAUUGCGAGAUGAUUACUGGGCGAAGAAGAUUAGUUUGGCUGAUCUGCAUAGGAAAGUGAAGAGAGAAGUUGAUAACAAGGUUAUGGAUUCGGCGAUGAAAUUGGUGAAAUCUAGACAGGGAGGUGCUGAUCCUUCUCCUGCUCCUGGGACUGUUAAUUUCUCUGGUUUUAUGAAGGUGCUGUCUAGGUUCUUACCUGCUUCGAAAAUGGAUGUACUUGCCAAAUUGCUCCACGAUUACAGGGAGAAGAGGAUUAGUCUGGCUGAGCUGAAUCGGGAAGUGAGACUUGUAGUUGAUAACAAGGUUAUGGCUGCUGCAAUCAAGUUGACGAAACCUAACCGAUGUGCUCUUUUGGAGGCGGCGCUGGAAAGGUUAUUGCCUCCUUCACAGUGGAAAAUACUUGCCGGAUUAAUCAAGGAUUUCAAUGCAAAGAAGAUUAGCCGAAGUGAGUUUGGUCAGAAAUUUAAGCUCAUAGUUGAUAACAAGAUGCUGGAUUCAGCUAUUAAAUUGGCGACACAGAGUAGUCAGCAGAGGAGUAUCACUGCUAGUGAUGUUAGAUUAAAGGUGCCAAAUUCUUCAAUCUAUUUUACUGAUCUGAUGCCCUUUCUGGAAAGGUCCCUGUCUCCUCAAAAGAUGGCCCUGCUUACCAAAAGCCUUGAGGAUUUUAAGGCAGAGAAGAUAAGCAGAGCUCAGAUAAGCUGGUACAGUUUCGCAUUGGAGCUCGCUAACUCUGCGGAACUGGGCGGGGGAGAGAUCGCCAAGGUCGCCGGUGCGAAAGCCGCGGAGGAUGUCGAUGAUGUGGGCUUCAAAGUGGAUGGAGGCCUCGGAGUAGACGAGGUGGAAGGCGGUGGUGGGGCGCCAACCGCCGAUCCAGUGGAGGGAGCGCUCGAGGGUGGUGGCCCAUGGGGCGACGAAUACGGAGAGGGCGUCUUGCUCGGCGGCGAGGGACUUGACGUGGUAGUACUCGGCGUAGUGGGACAUGACUUUGUUGAUGACAUGGAGGAAGUGGUGCUGGUGCUCGGUGGUGGUGGGGUGUUUGGGACAGGAGGAGAGCUGCUGCACCAGGCGGUGGAGCUGCUGGAACCACGAGUCGUUGAAGCUAGUGUAGCCGUUCAUGGGCGGCGGUGGGGGCAGCUAACCGCUGCUAAUGACGGGUUUGGAAUUUGGGCCGGCAUUAUCCUGGGGCCAACUCUCUUUAACUCGUUUGCUCCAUACGACAGCAUAAUGACCUUAGAAACUAUAGGAAACCUGGGCCUAGUUUACUACAUCUUUCUGGUGGGAUUAGAACUUGAACUAAAGCCGGUGAUGCGUGCCAGGAAAAAGGCUCUCAGCAUUGCCCUCGUAGGCAUGGCGGUCGCCAUCGCCAGCGGUUGGGGCUUGUUUUUUGUCCUAGACAACAACGUCAAGCCUGAUCUGAAGUUUCUGAAAGCCCCAAAUCAGCAAGACAACACACACUCAGGUCACUUGUUCUGGGCACUCGCCCUCGGCACUACAAGCUUCCCAGACGUGGCUCGAAUCCUUGCAGACCUUAAGCUCCUCAACUCCGAGCUUGGACAACUUGCAUUGUCAUCUGCUGUCAUCUCCGACCUUGGCUCGUGGUACACUAUCCUACGUUGGACCUUUCGUAUUGGGAGCCAUUAUGCCGAGGGGAGAGCUCAGAAAAUUGGUAGUAGAGAAGAUCCAACCCUUUGUGACUGGGAUUCUGAUGCCUCUUUUCUUUUUAAUCAUCGGGCUACGAACCAACAUGUGAUUGCCGGCAGCUUUGUUGCCGCCUUAAUCCACAAAAUGAGACCUCGGGAUGCUCUGGCUCUGGGAGUAGUCAUGAACACCAGAGGCCUAGUGGCACUCUUUAUCCUCAGCACCGGCAGGGACCUAAAGACCUUGGACCAACGAACAUUCCCAGCUAUGAUCUUUGUAGUUUGGGCACUGAUGAUUCCGGUCGGACCCUUCCUAUCCUAUACUUACAACACCACCAAGAAGCAUUUAGGACACUGCAAAAAUAGGAACAUACGAAGCGUAGGAUCUAACACAGAGCUUCGAAUCCUUGCAUGCACCCACGACUCGCGUAACUCACCCGCCAUCAUCAAUCUUCUCGAAGCUUCCAAUCCGACCAGACAGUCCCCAAUUCAAGUCUUUGCUGUCCAGCUUGUUGAAAUGACCGGCCACACUUCCGCUAUGCUCAUUGUCCAUGAUGCUUGCAAGAGCAAAAAUGAAGGGAGCACGCACGAGACCAGACAAAUAUUUUCAUCCUCGCACUCCAAUCCCUUUGAACUCUACGCAAAGCAAAGAGAUAAUGUUAAUGUCCAGCCACUCACCAUCGUCUCAGCCUACGCCACAAUGCAUGAAGACAUAUGCAACUUUGCGGAGGACAGGUGCAUUACCCUUGUGAUUGUCCCGUUACAUCAACAAUCUACCCUAGAUGGCACUAUGGAGGAAUCCAAUCCUGCGCUCAGGGCAGUCAAUAGAAAUGUCAUUGACAAUGCACCAUGCUCAGUGGGUGUUUUUGUAGACCGGGGACUUGGUAUAUCCCAGAUCUUCAAGUCCAACAUCGGCAGCCACAUUAGCUCCGAUGACGGAAGCAACCACCGCUUUGCUGUAUUUUUCAUUGGAGGGGCAGAUGACCGUGAGGCAUUAGCGUAUGCAAAAAGAAUGGCUGGGCAUCCAGGGGUUGACUUGACGGUUAUUCGGUUCAUCUUGAAUACAGAGGCAUGCUUAGAUGAUGCUGACUAUGAAAACGAAAUUUUAGAGGUAAUGGCAAACACUGGGAGGCAAAAACAGCUUGAUAACUUGUACGUGGAUGGUUUUAGGGUCCAUACAAUGCACAAUUCAUCCAUAGAGUUUGUAGAGGAAGUGGUGAAUAGCUGGGAAGAAACUCUCAAAGUCAUAAAGGACAUGGAGGAUCAUUACGAUUUGUACAUAAUGGGAAGACGACAUGGAAGCAUCAGCACGCCAACAGAGACAUCAGUAUUGGACAGCAGCGACUACGAUGAGCUAGGUACUCUAGCAGAAGUAUUCUGCCCCAUGGAGGAGGAACUAAUCCUCAGCUAUCUAUAUCCCAAGGUCAAGGGAGAGGAGGUACCCGGCGAAGAGUAUCUGAUCUUCAAUUCCGAUUUGUACGGUAAAAACGACCCGUGGGAGAUAUGGAACAUGUACAAAGAAAGAAGAAAGAACGACUUGAGGUUCAGCCAAGACCUGUACUUCUUCACUCAACGCAAGAAGAGGACUGUGAAUGGCUCCCGGAAGGGCCGAACCGUCGGAAGUGGCACCUGGAAAGCGGUCUCUUCCGAUGAUGUAAGCGCAGGUGGCACCGUUGUAGGUCACAGGAGCAGAUUUAGCUAUGAGAACAAGGAGUCUGUGGAACAUGGCAGAUGGAUCAUGCUCGAGUACGAACUUGAACGCUCGCAAGACGUACACAAAUAUGUUCUAUGCAAACUUAGGAAAAAUAAGGGAUCCAAAGAGAAAGGGAAACGGGUAGAUGAGGAUGACCAGGAGAAGCUUGCAACCGGAGAUGAUAUGCCCGAUGAUUUUCCAGCGCUGGAGGAAUAUAAGAAUGUGAAACAAGAGGAAUCCGAAAUCAAACAAGGAGUGGAAGAUCAAGGGAUGCAUGCAGAUGGAGACGAUGUCUGCGAUGCUGGUCCGUCAUUAUCUUCUGAACUACAAGAGGCAGAAAAUUGUUGGAAACAAUACCUGAACCCUAUAAUAUUCGUUGAUGAUGACAAUUUGGUACCACCUUAUGCAGAUGCCUUGCAGUGGGAGGAGUCAAAUAUAACAAGGCAAGGCAGACUCGGUGCCUCUGGUGAUAGACUUUCAACUCCUCCUCAUCCUCCAUCUCCAUCUCCAUCAUCUUCUCUUCCACCUCCAGGCACGUGCACGGCAUGUGACCUGCCAGAAAGUUGGAGCACGCCAACCUCGGGUCACGCUUCCUUAUCCGCUGCGUCGGGGUCGGGUCGGGAUUUGGGUUCGGGUCCUCCGGCAGGGGGGAGCGGGUUGGGCGGGUCGUCGGAAGCCUAUGCGAUGGACAAGUCAGCAUAUUUCUCCGCCCUCCGCUUCUGCCACGAGAACGGCGUCACUCACCGAGAAGUGAAGUCGCAGAACCUCCUCCUCGACGGCAACGGCGAACUCAGACUCCGAUUUCGUACACAACGCCAGAGGUUCUGUACCGGGUUGGGUACGAUCUGCCUUCUCAUCCACUCCGCCGAUCCCAACGCCUUCGACGACGUGAUUCUGGUGGCGUUGAUGUGCAAAGAAUCUGGGCCUUUUAUGAUGAAGGCGAUUUUGGCGAGAGUUACGGGUCCUCCGGAGGUUCUAGAAGUUGUUGAGGUGGCCGAACCACAAUUGGAGGACAAUGAAGUUCUCAUAAGGGUGGCGGCCGCCGGGAUGAAUGAGCCGGAUGUGACUGAGAGGCAGCGGUCCUUGCCGCCCCAAGCAAGCCUGUCUAUCCUGGGUCUGGAAUGUUCGGGAACUAUCGAGAAGGUCGGGAAAAAUGUCGAGAGGUGGAAAAUCGGCCAAGAGGUAUGUGCUGUUUUGAGGGGUGGAGGCUAUGGUGAGAAAGUGGCUGUUCCGGAAGGACAUGUUUUCAGAAUCCCAAAGAACAUUUCUCUGGAGGAGGCUGCGAGCUUUCCGCAGGUAGCUUGCAGUGUUUGGGUAUCACUGUUUACCAGGGAUAAACUAAAUAGUGAGUAUUGGCUGCCACUGGUGAAGGAUGGCAGCAGGACUUCUUUAUCUGUUGAAAAAAUUGGUUUGAUGACAAGAAUGUUCUUCAGAGGGUUUUGUUAUGGAAUUACCAAGAUGCGGAAAAAACGUAAAUUGAAACCGCGUGAUCAUAGUGGGAAUAGGCGUCCACAAUUUGCUUGGGAAAUUUUUUUGCUUCCUCAGGGGGCGAUUUUCGGUUAUUCUGCGGUGUUUGUUGUUGAGAAGAAGCUAUACCCUUGGUUUCCUGGGAGUAGGAGUCGGCUAAUUGCUGGGGAAAGUAUUUUGGUUCAUGGGGGAUCCGGGGGAAUUGGUUCAUUUGUGGUUCAGUUGGCUAAAGCCCUGAGAGUCAAUGUGAUUGUCACAGUUUCAAGUUGCAACAAGUUUGAGUUUUGUAGGAGACUUGGAGCUAAUGCAUGCAUUAGUUUCAAUUACAAGGACAAGAAAGAUGGCUUCAGUGAAAGGGUGAGGGAAGAAACAAAUAACAGAGGUGUUGAUGUCGUGUUGAGUAACCUACCUGUUCAAUAUAUUGGGCCGAACAAUGCUUGCGUAAAGGUUGGUGGGACAGUUAUUCAGAUUGGGUUGUGUUGGAUGUUACCAUAUGAUACUAAAAACCAGCUUCCGCAACCGAAAAAAGUAGGUUCUGUGCUUCAGGAAAAUAACAAUGUUGGAGUUGCUGGCUUCAGGUACAGACCUAUAGAAGAAAAAACAAGAAUUGUCAAUGAGGUUGAAAGGAAUGUGUGGCCUCUAAUUGAAAGGCAAGAAGUGAAACCUGUCGUCCAACACCGUUUUCCAUUCUCCAGAGCUUCAGAUGCACACCGACUCAUGGAGAGCGGCAUGCAUCUCGGAAAGAUCCUACUGAUUCCUGAUGAUAGAUUUGACAAUAAUUGGCUUCUGGCAUUAGGAUUGCCCAACUUGCCAAGGAGAAAAAGGUUUGCAGAGGAGAAGAAGGAUCAGAAACAGGGUGCUAGCUGCACAGGAGAGAGGGCCAUGUCAAAAGAAAUAGAAAGACCAACUCAAAUCGAGGGGGCUCUUCCUCAAAACGACGCCGUUACCGGUUCUUCGUACAUCGCCGCCUCCUACGUCAAGUUGGCUGAGUCCGCCGGCACUCGUGUUAUUCCUCUCAUCUACAACGAUGUUCUCUUCCAGGUGAUCACUUCUUCAACUCGCUUUGUAAUUCCUCUGAUGAUUUUAGAGAAGAAUGAUGCUGGUGAUCAUUUUCCAUUAUAUACCAUCUGCUUGGGUUUUGAACUUCUAACAAUGAACAUCAGCAAGGAUUUCCGUCGCUUCUGCUUUUCUGUGCAUUUUGAUUUUGGUGCUGCUUUAACAAAACUAUGGUAUGUCACCAUAGAGGUUGCCAGAGAACCAAGAUCUGUCUUGACAACAGUACAAAUGAAGAUGAUAAGGGAGUUGGAGAAGCUGUGUCGUCAGCCGGAGGAUUUUAGUGACCUGGUUGCAGAGGAUGCUGAGAAGAAGAGAAGCUAUAUCUUGUGCUUUAUAGUCGAUAUAAAGCACGGUUUGUCGGAGAGGAGCGCACAUAUGGAGAAGCCAAUGCAUGGAUCACCAAGCGUGCCUUACCUUCCACUCGAUGUACUCGCCAAAAUACUUGCAGAACUUCCUAUCAAAUCCUUGUUGCGAGUGAGAGUUGUGUGCAAGUCAUGGUGUUCCUUGGUCUCAAGUCAACAAUUCGUCAAAAAGUAUUCAUCAAAAGUUACCACCAGCCCUUCAAGACUAAUCAUGAAUCCGUUCGGCUUGGUUAACGAUUUAACUUUCUGCCAUCUUCAUGAUUCCAUAGUAGUCCGUGAACGUUCAAUCGAUUUGGGGAUCGAAAAAUCCAACUAUUGUGUCAUGGGUUCUUGCGACGGUUUGGUAUGCGUAAAAGAAUGUAGCCAUGGCAUGAUCAUUCUCUGGAAUCCAAGUACGAGAGGCUCCAAAAUAUUACCUUGUAUUUCUGAAGUGGAAGAAGGGAAAGUACGGCGAUGGAAGUAUGGAUUCGGUCAUGACUGCAAUAGUGACGACUACAAGGUGGUUACAUUGAGUGAUCUUAAAGAAAAAGCUCUCAAUCCGAAAGGUUUCUGUAGUUAUAUAACCAUGAUGUACUCAUUAAGAACAGACUCUUGGAAGAGGAUUGGGGAUUCACCAAUUGGUUAUGUGUUUAUCGACGAGUGUGCUGCUUUUGUAAGUGGAGCUCUACAUUGGGUGGCGGAUCGACAACUAAGUGAUACUAGGGUAAUCAUAUCUCUUGAUUUAACAACCGAGACAUACAUAGAAUUGCCACAACCUGAUUAUGAUUCUAUACUCGCGGAAGUGGGGGCUUCAAGAGGAUGCUUAUGCUUGCUUGCUUGCGACAAUGAUGAAUAUUUUGAUAUCUGGGUGAUGAAUGAAUAUGGGGUGCGAGAGUCUUGGACCAAAUCGAUCAAACUCCCUUUUUUGUGGGGAGAUAAAAAUUGUCUUGGCUGCUUAAAACCGCUGACAUGGUUUACCGAUGAGAAGGGGGAAAUUAUCUUGAGUAUAGCGGGGAAUGUGGCUUCCUACAAUGCAAACAGAAACUCAGUUAGAUACGACAGUGAUUGGAAUUGUGUAGAUGAGAUUAGGGUACAGAUGGGUUCACGGUUAAAAUCUCAAGUAGGAGAUGAUGAUAAGAUUAGUCAAUUACCAGAUGCAGUGUUGUCUCACAUACUCUCCUUCUUGGCAACCAAAGAUGCUGUGAGGACCAGCAUUCUCUCUACAAGAUGGAAGAACAUAUGGGCUUCUGUUCCCUAUCUAGACUUCGAACACAAGUACAGUCAUGAACCCGGCUACAGGUCUGACCAUGAUGGGUUUGUGUCAUUCGUUGAUCGUGUGCUUUACUAUCGUGAUUCAUCAGACAUUCAAAGAUUCCGUCUCCAUUUUACCUGCUUUGAUGAGGAUUCCUCUCAUGUUGAUGGUUGGUUUCUCCAUAUCAGAAUUGAUUAUCCUGAUAAGGACCUUAUGGAAAAGCUUUUUACAUACUUCCCUUUACUUGAAGACUUGACUAUAGAGGGAAAAAUGCCAAGUGAUUUAAGUUGUAAGUUCAAGCUUUUUGUGCCAGAACUAAAGAAGUUAAGUAUAAACCUUGACUUUGUUGGCACUUGUGAGGACCCUUAUGAGUACUACUUCUCUAUCAAUUCCCCAAAGCUUGAAUUCCUUAACCUCAGAGUGGAUAUUUUGCCGAGUAUUUUAUUAGACAAUGCAAAGCCCCUGGUAAAAGCCGUUGUGGAUUUCGAUUACCAUGAGGCAAUUCUACAUGAGCACUUCCGUAUUCGCGCAACUAAAAUUCUGGCAGCAAUUUCCAAUGUUGAACAACUAUCUCUUUCAGUUCAUCUUUUUGAUGCUUCUUGUAUACCUGCUUUUGAUAAUCUGAUCCAUUUGAAGUUGGUUCUUCGUGACUGCUAUGGCUGGGAAGUGCUGGCAGAGCUACUCAAGAGAACACCUAAUCUGGAAUGUCUUGUCUUGGAACAUAAACCAGACGGAGACUGUAACUCAGAUAACGAAGAAAACUCAGAGGAUGGAGCAAAUUUAGUGGACAAUGAAAAUUUAGAGGAUGCCGAAGACAAAGCAAACACAGAGGACAAUGAGAACUCCGAUAAUGAAGAAACUUCAGAGGAUGAAGAAUACUCGGAGCAUCCAUGGUGGAACUGUCAAGAGUCUGUACCUGUUUGUUUGUUGUCACAUCUCAAGACUAUUUUCAUAAGGGGUUUCAAAGGACGUAGGGAUGAGAUGCAAGUGGCAAAAACCCUCCUCUCCCACUCCUCUCUCCUUAGACCCCAAACCCCCCACCAACCUCUCUCGUUCUCCUCCAUCUUCCUCAGAACCCUUUCCUCACUCGAACCCAAAAACCACACCAAACCCAGAAAGCCACUAGUCCUCGUUUUCAAAGAGGCCGUCGGACUCUCCCCAAAACCCGAAACCUCCGACACCGAAACCGACGACGACCCACUGAAACAAAGCCUCAGGGAGCACGAACGAGAGCUCAAGACCUUGAAACCGAAUCCGAAUGUUGCCCAAAUCGAACCCAGGAGAAGAGAACCCAAGAAUUCAAAGGGUCGGAUCAGCUUGUACGCCGUGUUUACGAAUAAGAAGGUGGAAGUUGAAACGGGAAAGGAGAGUAGCAGAGAGUGGUCGAAGGUGUACAAGGAGUUGUCGCCGGAAAUGGAGUUGGUGGUGAGCCAUUUGUAUAAAGAAGGCUACUUUUCGGAUGCGAAUUUUGUGUGUUUGUAUGAGGAUAGGUUGGAUUUUAGCUGCUUUGAUAGUGCUUAUGGCCGUGGGUUUAUUAAGCAUGCUGUGGAGAAGUUUGCCAAUGACAAGCAGGAAAUUGCAAAAUGGUUAUCAGGGCGCGACUUGAAAAAGGUGGCUCUCUUUGGUUGUCCUUCGCUAGCCAAAAAGAGUGUUUUCGGUGCUAAGAGAUUGCGCAAAUUCUUUGAAAUUCCAGAAGAAACUGUUUGUUCAAAAUGUGUCUUAAGAGAAUCGUGCAAGUUUGUGAACAAGAGUGUGUGGCGUGGACACCCAAAUAAUUUGAAUCCAACUAAUGUGGGGAAAGCAAACCCCAAGAAUUUAAAUCUGGCUGAUGUUAUGAAUACUAUCACGUUAUAUGCUUUGGAAUCUGUGCAUCCGCAGCUAGUUGUGCCGGAGGAUGUAACGUCUUCUAGGCAACAAGAGAGUACAGAAGAUAUUGAGCGAAUCCAAGCCAUAAAUGCUCAGCUUGCUGUAGUUUUAGCCGAGUAUGAUUCCUCUGAUCCACCAAGAGGGCGUGGUUCACGGCCUAAUCGUUCUCGGAAUGUCAAAAGACACAGGGAGUCACGUGGUCAAUAUCUUAUGGAGGAUUACUUCAUUGAACAUCCAAUCUUUGAGGAAGUAGACUUCCGGAGGAGGUAUAGAAUGCGAAGGUCAGUCUUUAAUCGUAUCAUGGAGAGCCUUUGCAACUACGACACGUUCUGGCAACAAAAACCUGAUUGCUCUGGAAAAAUGGGGUUCCUACCUCAGCAAAAAAUGACAGGUGCCUUACGUAUGCUUGCAUACGGUGCUGCUGCCGAUCAAUGUGCUGAAAUAACCAGAAUGGGGGAAUCCACCACGUUGGAAUGUUUGAAGAAAUUCUGCCAGCAAGUGGAAACUCUUUACUCCGAGUGGUACCUUCGCACUCCAACACUUGCAGACCUCCACCGGUUUCUUCAAAGAGCAGAUAAGCGUGGUUUUCCAGGCAUGAUUGGGAGCAUUGACUGUAUGCACUGGGAGUGGAAAAAUUGUCCGACUGGAUGGGCCGGAGCUUACACUGGUCGUAAAGGUCGCCCAACAAUUAUUCUUGAAGCGUCGAAAGUGUUCCAACGUGUCAUCUCUGGAAGUGCCCCUUCAGUGACGUUCAAGGUCAACGACAUUACCUUCUCCAACCCAUACUACCUAGCUGAUGGAAUUUAUCCUUGGUGGUCAACAUUCGUCAAAACAAUUCCGAACCCAAGAGGUUUUGCUGAGAAACUCUUUGCUAAAAAACAAGAAGCAUAUCGGAAAGAUGUGGAAAUGUGUUUUGGUAUUCUUCAAUCUCGUUUUGCUAUUUUACGUCACUGUGCUCGUUUGUUUAAAUUGUCGACUCUUCGAAGCAUCAUGGUAGCUUGCAUUAUUCUUCACAACAUGAUUGUAGAGGAUGAGUUUGUUGAAGAAGACUUUGUAGAGCCUAACGAGAUUGACAACAUGAACCCAGCAGGAGCAAACGUUUAUGAUCGUCCCUUGGACGAUGAAGGACGUCCUAUUCCUUUCCAACCAGUGGGAAGAGACGGACAAAAUCUUCCACAGCUCAUUGACCGGUUUUCGAUCGCCAUAAUCAUGAAAAUGAGCUGCUCAUUCUCCUCCCCCUCCCAGCUUCUUGUUGUUCUGCCUCUCCUGCUAGUUUUCUCUGCAACUCUUGCUUUCGGAGCUACUCAAUUACCAGAAGAUGAAGUUGAAGCUUUAAAGGACAUAGCAAAGACUCUGGGGAAGACGAACUGGAAUUUCAGUGCUGAUCCCUGUGGCAGCGCUUACGGGUGGGCUAAUCUGAAACCGGUGAAAGGAUCCGAAGAUGCCGUCACCUGCAACUGCACCUUGGUUCCCAAUUCUACUGUCUGCCACGUCACAAGCAUAGUUUUGAAAUCUCAGAGUUUGCCGGGAAAACUCCCUCCAGAGUUGAUCAGGCUCCCCUAUCUCCAAGAAAUUGACCUCUCCCGUAACUACCUGAAUGGCACCAUCCCUCCCGAAUGGGGUGCCCUGCCACUAUUGAACAUUUCCCUUGUCGGAAACCGUUUGACAGGUUCUCUACCAGUUGAACUCGCAAACAUCACCACCAUGAAAAGUUUGGCCAUUGAUAUGAAUAGCUUCUCUGGAGUUCUUCCCGCGAAGCUUGGGAACUUGCCCAACAUAGAAAGAAUUCUUCUUACCUCAAACAACUUUACUGGGGAGUUGCCGGAAACAUUUGCUCAGCUGUCUACACUAAAGGACUUUCGGAUUAGUGACAAUUCCUUUUCUGGGAAGAUACCUAAUUUUAUUCAGAACUGGACAAAACUUGAUAAACUCGCGAUUCAGGCUAGUGGCUUGACAGGGCCAAUUCCUUCCGGCAUUUCUCUUUUGACCAAAUUAACUGACAUGAGAAUUACCGACUUGAAUGGACCUGAAUCAUCAUUUCCUCGACUUGAGAAUCUGAUAAAACCAAAGACACUGAUGUUGCGGAAUUGCAAUAUUAGUGGACAGCUACCUGAAUAUCUUGGGGAAAUGACGACUUUGAAAACUUUAGACCUCAGCUUCAACAAGCUAACUGGAGAAAUUCCAAGCAGCUUUUCUGGUCUAGCAAAUGUGGAUUACAUGUUCUUGACUGGAAAUAUGCUCACUGGAUCCGUGCCUGAUUGGCUGAAAGGAGACAACAUUGAUCUUUCAUAUAAUGACUUCACCACUAAUUCAGGGGCCGUCAGUUGUCAACCACGAGGAGGCUUGAACUUGUUUGCAAGCUCUUCAAGGGGAAAUACUUCUUCUGUGUCGUGUUUGAAAAUUGCAAAAUGUCCAAAAACUUUGUACUCUCUCCACAUAAAUUGUGGCGGAAAAGAAGUAACUCUCAGUGAAAACUUCACAAGGGCCACAAUGGCAACAUAUGAGGAUGAUACAGCUUCUUCUGGGCCAUCAUCAUUUUACAAAAGCAGUACAAAUUGGGCGUCAAGCAACACUGGUUUCUUCACUGACGAUGAUCGUCCUACAGAUACCUUUAUCUGGACUAAUUCAUCUAGACUCUCUAUAACCAAUCCUCAGCUGUAUUUGAACGCACGCCUUUCUCCUAUUUCUCUAACAUAUUAUGGGUUUUGUCUGGGAAAUGGAAUUUAUACAGUGAACCUCCAUUUUGCUGAAAUAAUGUUUCAAAAUGACAAAACAUAUAGCAGCUUGGGAAGGCGUAUAUUUGAUAUUUAUAUCCAGGGGUCACUGGUGCUGAAGGAUUUUAACAUUGCCAGUGAAGCAGGAGGGUUUGGUAUACCUGUUGUAAAAAACUUCACUACUAACAUAACUAGUAAUACCUUGGAGAUCCGUUUAUAUUGGGCUGGAAAAGGAACCACUGGCAUCCCUGUACGAGGAAUUUAUGGUCCUCUAAUCUCCGCUAUUUCUGUAGAUCCUAACUUUGAACCCCCGGUAGAGGCCUUGACAGGAGGUGGAGAUGGAAGUGGAAUAUCUGUAGGUGUAGUGGUUGGAAUUGUGGCUGGAGGAUUCUUCAUUAUACUACUUAUUUUUGGUAUUCUUUGGUGGAAAGGUUUUCUAAGACGAGAAAGGACUCUCGAACAAGAUUUGAAUGGUGUGGACUUGCAAACUAGUAAGUUUACCUUGAGGCAAAUCAAAGCUGCCACAAACGAUUUUGACCCAGCUAAUAAGAUUGGAGAAGGUGGUUUUGGUCCUGUCCACAAGGGCCUUCUAUCAGAUGGCACCAUAAUUGCCGUUAAGCAGCUCUCUGCCAAAUCAAAGCAAGGGAAUCGUGAAUUUGUGAAUGAGAUCGGCAUGAUUUCUGCUUUGCAACACCCUCAUCUUGUUAAGCUAUAUGGAUGCUGCAUUGAAGGAAAUCAAUUAUUGCUUGUCUAUGAGUACAUGGAAAAAAAUAGUCUUGCACGCGCUUUGUUUGGUAAAUAUUUCUGCAGCAUAAGCCCAGAAGAAAGUCAGUUAAAGUUAGAUUGGCCAACAAGGCACAAUAUCUGUGUUGGCAUUGGAAGAGGUUUGGCCUUCCUCCAUGAGGAGUCAAGGUUGAAGAUCGUUCAUCGAGACAUCAAAGCUACUAAUGUGCUACUUGAUAAAAAUCUUUUCCCAAAGAUAUCUGACUUUGGAUUGGCCAAACUUGAUGAAGAGGAUAAUACCCACAUAAGCACCCGAAUUGCUGGAACUUAUGGAUAUAUGGCACCUGAAUAUGCGAUGCGUGGUUAUUUGACUGAUAAAGCCGAUGUUUAUAGUUUUGGAAUUGUUGUGCUGGAAAUUGUUAGUGGGAGGAGCAAUACAACGUACCGGACGAAGGAAGAAUGCUUUUAUCUUCUUGAUUGGGCACUUGUUCUAAAAGAGAAAGGGAACUUGCUGGAACUAGUUGAUCCAAGGUUGGGCUCAGACUUUAACAAUGAAGAGAUGAUGAUCACAAUCAAUGUGGCUCUUCUUUGUACUAAUGUCAUUGCAGCAGAUAGGCCUAUGAUGUCUUCAGUGGUUAGCAUGCUUGAAGGCAAAGCUUCUGUCCAAGAGUUGGUCUCGGAUCCAAAUGCAUCGAAGGAGGAGAUCAAUGAAAUGAGGAAACAUUUUCAGUCCAAUGUUGCAGAAAACAUGAGUGAGAAUAGCCAGAGGCAAACUAUGUCAACCGAAGGUCCUUGGACUGCUUCAUCUACAUCUGUUAAUGAUCUUUAUCCAGUCAAUCCUGAUUCAAGUUACUGGGAAAACAGAAAUCGCAGAGUUUUGAAAGCUCAGAGUUUGCCGGGAAAACUCCCUCCAGAGUUGAUCAGGCUCCGCUAUCUCCAAGAAAUUUCCCUUGUCGGAAACCGUUUGACAGGUUCUCUACCAGUUGAGCUUGCAAACAUCACCACACUGAAAAGUUUGACCAUUGAUUUCAAUAGCUUCUCUGGAGUUCUUCCCGCGGAGCUUGGGAACUUGCCCGGCAUAGAAAGAAUGCUUCUCACCUCAAACAAUUUUAUUGGGGAGUUGCCGGAAACAUUUGCUCAGCUGACUACACUAACGGAUUUUCGGAUUAGUGACAAUUCCUUUUCUGGGAAGAUACCUAAUUUUAUUCAAAACUGGACAAAUCUUGAAAAACUGGCGAUUCAGGCUAGUGGCUUGACAGGGCCAAUUCCUUCCGGCAUUUCUCUUUUGACAAAAUUAACUGACUUGAGAAUUACUGACUUGAAUGGACCUGAAUCAUCAUUUCCUCGGCUUGACAAUUUAAAACCAAAGACUCUGAUGUUGCGGAAUUGCAAUAUUAGUGACCAGUUACCUAUGUAUCUUGGGGAAAUGACGGGUUUGAAAACUUUAGACCUCAGCUUUAACAAGCUAACCGGAGAAAUUCCAAGCAGCUUUUCUGGUCUAGCAAAGGUGCAAUACAUGUUCUUGACUGGAAAUAUGCUCACUGGAUCCGUGCCAGCUUGGCUGAAAGGAGGCAACAUAUCUGUGUCAUGUUUGAAAAUUGCAAAAUGUCCAGAACCUUUUUACUCUCUCCACAUAAAUUGUGGAGGAAAAGAAGUAAAUGUCACUGGAAACUUCACAAGGGCCAAAAUGGCAACAUAUGAGUAUGAUUCAGCUCCUUCUGGGCCUUCAUCAUUUUUCAAAAGCGGUACAAAUAAGUGGGCGUCAAGCAACACUGGUUAUUUUCCUGACGAUAAUAUAGAAAAAGAUACCUUUAUCUGGCCUAAUUCAUCUAGACUCUCUAUAACUAAUUCAUCUGAUCAGCUGUAUAUGGAUGCACGCCUUUCUCCUAUUUCUCUAACGUAUUAUGGGUUUUGUCUGGGAAUUGGAAGUUACACAGUGAAACUCCAUUUUGCCGAAAUAAUGUUUCAAAAUGACACAACAUAUAGCAGCUUGGGAAGGCGUAUAUUUGAUGUUUACAUCCAGGGGUCACUGGUGCUGAAGGAUUUUAACAUUGCCAGUGAAGCAGGAGGGUUUGGUAUACCUAUUGUAAAACCCUUCACUGUUAACAUAACUAGUAAUACCUUGGAGAUCCGUUUAUAUUGGGCUGGAAAAGGAACCACUGGCAUCCCUGCUCGAGGAAACUAUGGUCCUCUAAUCUCUGCUAUUUCUGUUGAUCCUAACUUUGAACCCCCAAUAGAGACCUCGACGGGAGGUGGAGGUGGAGGUGGAGGUGGAGGUGGAAUACCUCUAGGUGUAGUGGUUGGAAUUGUGGCUGGGGCAAUCUUCAUUAUACUACUUAUUGUUGGUAUUCUUUGGUGGAAAGGUUUUCUAAGACGAGAAAGGACUCUCGAACAAGAUUUGAUUGGUGUGGACUUGCAAACUAGUAAGUUUACCUUGAGGCAAAUCAAAGCUGCCACAAACGAUUUUGACCCAGCUAAUAAGAUUGGAGAAGGUGGUUUUGGUCCUGUCCACAAGGGCCUUCUAUCAGAUGGCACCAUAAUUGCCGUUAAGCAGCUCUCUGCCAAAUCAAAGCAAGGGAAUCGUGAAUUUGUGAAUGAGAUUGGCAUGAUUUCUGCUUUGCAACACCCUCAUCUUGUUAAGCUAUAUGGAUGCUGCAUUGAAGGAAAUCAAUUAUUGCUUGUGUACGAGUACAUGGAAAAUAAUAGUCUUGCGCGCGCUUUGUUUGAAGAAAGUCGGUUAAAGUUAGAUUGGCCAACAAGGCACAAUAUCUGUGUUGGUAUUGGAAGAGGUUUGGCCUUCCUCCAUGAGGAGUCAAGGUUGAAGAUCGUUCAUCGAGACAUCAAAGCUACUAAUGUGCUACUUGAUAAAAAUCUUUUCCCCAAGAUAUCUGACUUUGGAUUGGCCAAACUUGAUGAAGAGGAUAAUACCCACAUAAGCACCCGAAUUGCUGGAACUUAUGGAUAUAUGGCACCUGAAUAUGCUAUGCGUGGUUAUCUAACUGAUAAAGCCGAUGUUUAUAGUUUUGGAAUUGUUGUACUGGAAAUUGUUAGCGGAAGGAACAAUACAACUUACCGGACGAAGGAAGAGUGCUUUUAUCUUCUUGACUGGGCACUUGUUCUAAAAGAGAAAGGGAACUUACUGGAACUAGUUGAUCCAAGGUUGGGCUCAGACUUUAACAAAGAAGAGAUGAUGAUCACAAUCAAUGUGGCUCUUCUUUGUACUAAUGUCAUUGCAGCAGAUAGGCCUGCGAUGUCUUCAGUGGUGAGCAUGCUUGAAGGCAAGGCUUCUGUCCAAGAAUUGGUGUCGGAUCCAAAUGCGUGGAAGGAGGAGAUGAAUGAAAUGAGGAAGCAUUUUCAGUCCAAUGUUGCAGAAAACAUGAGUGAGAAUAGUCAGAGGCAAACUAUGUCAACCGAAGGGCCUUGGACUGCUUCAUCUACAUCUGUUAAUGAUCUUUAUCCAGUCAAUCCUGAUUCAAGUUACUGGGAGAACAGAAAUUAG